CAAAAUGAAGGGAUGCCUUUGGGAGCAAAACCUUGUGGAAAUCACCAGGCACUCCAGCCGCAAGGUAGUGUCUCUCUGGUGGAAGUGAAGCAAAAAGUGUGUUGAAAUCAUUAGAUAUAUGGUCAUUAAAAAAGACUUGAAACUCAGGGACUUAGUCCCUCUUUUCUGAGUUUUUCCUCCAGGGCUUCUCUUAUCACUUUCAUGGCCACAAAUGUAUUUGGUCCUGUAGAGCAGCCAAAAUCUGCUAUGCGAAAUGGAUGCACAGAGGUUGAAGAAAGUUGCUUGACAUCAAGUUCUUUGUCAAUCUCUUCUUUGAUAAGUUCUUUUGCAACCUCUACUGCUCCUCUCUGCCACAGAAAAAAAAAAUCUUACCUUAGACAUUUAUAAUGAGGUAACUGCAGUUUAAACUAGCAACCUGAAAGGAUGAGUUUUGGUUAUAGCUUUGAGGUCCAUUUCCUCCAUUCAUGGCAUAUACUUGAGGCAUUUUUUCUAUCCCCCGGCUGCUAGGAGAUUUUUCAUAAGAAUAAAAAUGCUCCCAAUUUUUUAUUCUCCAAGUUAGAAUGAGAAACAAUUUAGAUAGAUAAAAGGAAGGCAGACGAAAGGCUGCCUUAUCAACCAGCAGCCCCUUUGGGCUAGUGGCCACCACUAAGCUAUUAAAGGUUUGGUGGGGUGGAAGGCAAGGGUUCAAAUCUUACCUCUCAUCAAUUAUCACAUUAAGUGGCUUAUUAAAAAAUUCAGACAGGUGUGUACUCGUUUGGUGCGGUGAUGAUUCAAUUUCCACUGGUCUGCCCUAAAUUCAAUUGGGUCUCUCCUUUACAUUAGGAUAGUAUAGGAUACUGUAGAUAAAGUGACGAUUGACCAAAAAAAAAAAAAAGAAGAAGAAGAAGAAGAAAGAAAGGCUGCCUUAUCGUCAUUAUGAGCCACACAAUUUUUUAGCUGUAGCAAUUAUAAAAUAGAAAGAAUCCUAUUAUUGUUGGCAAUGUGGAUGUCUCAGCCAAAAAUGGAACUUGCAUGGAUUGCGUGUAGCGAGAUCGAGGAUUUGAUGCCAUAUAUGUAUAUUCUCUUGUCUUGAUAUCUCUGUCUAGAUGGUCUAAUUUAUACUAGGCAGAGGCUCAGGCUCAAGUGUUGUCUUUUAGCCCUUUACACCACAGGCAUUUCUAUUAAUAAAUAUGGGAAAAAAAGAGAUACACACAUGGUAAAAUAUCUCUCAAACAUAUGUUAUGGAUCAUUUUGUGCAUAAAUUGAAUUUAAUUUAAAUUAUACAAUUUGUGCAUGUAAAAUAUCACCAUUCUUUCCUGGAAUGCUUAUUAUCUCCAUUCUCUAAAGAUUUUAGAUGUUCAUUUGUCCUCAUCUGGGUCUCUAUCUCAUUAGGAGAUGGGAAAUAUAGUGGCGUGUUGAACAUAUCCACUUUCAAUUCAUCGACCAGUCCCUGCAAUAGGUGCAUCUUAGUAUUUAAAGUAAUUUUUUUUUAAAACCAAAACCUGCAGUCAAAAUUGGAAGAAACACUUUGACCAAAACUCAUUCUUAUACGGUAUAUGAAAAUUAGAGGAACUGUAAAAUAAAAAAUUCCUACUUGUGGAUUUGCAACUGCUAUUUUUAAGCUGAAGACAUGUUUCAGAAAUUAUGGAACAUAGUUAAUAGCUUGUUCAUGACCAAGGAGGCAUUCCAUUCAUUCUCUGCCAUUGGUAUAUUAUGCCUGCAGAUUUGGUUGAUUUUGAUAUUAAUCAGAGGAAAUGUUGGAAAAAGAAAUUAAUAAGAAGAAAUGUUGUAUUAAUUUUCUGAUAUGAUUUUCUAUUCUGUCCAUGUCUGUUACAAGUAGUAAACUUGACAUAUGAAGCCCAUCCAUUACUUUGUACGGUUUUUUUCAGCGAAAUAAGUAACAUAAGUUAGAGGGUAAGGACUUAAUAUCAAAAUAAUAUUUUAUAUUUGCAAAUAGGAAUGAAAAAUGAACGAGACUAUGCUAUACUCUAAAUGAGGUUGAAUUAGUAAAUGCUAAUUUGUGCUUAGUUCACCAAUUAAUUAAACCAAACAUGAACAACAUUUUGUAUCCAAUAAAAUUUCAAAUCUGAAAUCGAGCUUGGCUGACUUAACAUGGUAUAUGAAAUUUAUAUGUGAAAAAUUCAAUCAAGUUCGACUGGGUAAAAGCUCAUCUAAAUUCAUCGCAAUAACUAAAUUAAUUAAAUUUAAAUACAAUUUUAAACUCUUUAGAAUAGAUAGACAAGGUUGAAUUAGGAAUCGGAAUACGAACUAAAUAUAGGUUAUACUGUUAUGGUAGUUAUGAAAAAAAGUGUUCAUGAUAUAUUUAUAACUAUAUUGUUUUUCUAUUUUUGAUUUGCAAUUACUGAUGUUAUUCCUAUAGAGAAUUUGAUUGAUUUUGAACUCUAUGCCAUUGGAGUAUAUAUAUUUUGAUAUUAGUAGUGAUGGCUUAAAUUAUUUUGUAUUAUAAAAAAGUGGUAGCCAUGGAAUUGAAAUUUAAUGAUAUUCAUGAAUAUUGUUGUGUAUUAAGUAAAAUUUGAUAUUGAUAUGAGAUUGGAGGUAAGCUUUCGGGUAUAUGAUGUAGCGUUAAUAGUUUGAUACAAUGGUAUGCAUCAUAAACUUUUAGGUAAAAGAGAAAUAUUAGAAUAAAUAUAAGUGUUUAUUUAGCAGUGAUUUGGAUUUUGAUGGAAAGGCACUACUGAUAGCAUGUGAGGAUGAAUGAGAUAGAGACUAUGAACCUUUUUUUUUUCUUUUUAUUUUUAGUGUGAAUUAUAACUGAAGGGCAUUGUAGGAUUUUUGAAAAAAAAAAAAGCCUAGACUUUUGGACCUACAAUGUUACUUAAACAAUGAAAAUAUAGGAGGUAGGUGUAAUGUUUAGAACUUAAGGGGAGCAUCCUGAAAUUAGGAAAAAACUCAAGAUAAGAAAUCUAAAAUGAGGUGAAAAACAAAUAUCUUAAGAGAAAAGUGAUGAAAUUGCAACUAGUAUGCCACUUUGCUAAGUUAAAUUGGCGAUUGAAAAGGAAAAAUCCUUUAGUGGCCAAAAAGUGCAAGUUGAAUGGAUUAGUGGUCAAUAAAAUUUGUUCUCCAAUCAUUGGAUGAAAUUGCUUUUGAUUUGGCACGGUGAAUGCACAUGGAACUCAUUCUAUUGAUACUAAGAGCAAUAUUUAAUAAAAUGACCAAAAGUAUACUGAUUUAAGAGUUUAGUGAUUAUAUUAAAAAAAAAAAAAACUUGAGCGGCCAAAAGUGUACGAGCGUACGAGCGGAAUAGUUUAGUACCUGCUGGGGUUUUUCGCCCUUUCAUGCAAUAUAUUGGGCUUGUGAAAUAAUAUUGACUUUAUGUGUUAUACAAAAAUAAUUCACAAAAAACAAACUUAUUCUAAAAAUUUUCAUACAUUAUACUGACAAUUGUCCCUUCUGUGCUGAAGGCAUAAUUAUAGACCAAAUGUAGAUGGAACAAGGACGUUAGUACCUUGGAAUUAGACCUAAAAUUGAACUUAGAUAAGAAUUUCACUAAAUUGUACCAUCCAACUAGCAUUUUAAAUAUCUGCAAACAAAGCAUUUUUUCAUAUGGUAUGAGAAUACUAAAAAUAGAAAAUUUUAAAUACAUUACCCUUACUUGAAUUAACAAUGUGUUAACAUGUGUGAAAUUAACUUGUUAUUUGCAUGCGUAACUAAGUUGAAAAUUAUUACGACUACAUGAUACCCCUUCUAAUUUCAAAUCUCCAUGUAAGGUGUAAUUAUCAUUUUUUAAUCUGUCUUUGAAACAAAAAAAAAAAAAAAAGAAUCUACGUUGUUAUUCACUAGAACGUUACAUGCAUUUAAUCUUCAAAAAAAUUCGUGGAGGAGAGCUUGGUGUGAACCCAGUGAGUUUUUACUAAUAAAUCGUACCAUGCCUUCUAACUAUUAAUUCUUGAAUUGUUUCUUAUCAUAAAAGCACAUUAUCUAUCAGUAUUUUCUUGAUGACAAUGAUAAAUAAUUCAAAGAAUAGUAUUAUGAAGGCAAUUUAUUGAUAUUUCACAAAAGAAAAGUUGUUAAUUAACUCUUUAUAUACUAUAAGGGCCCCAAUGUCUUAUUAGUGUUUAGGAUGUGUAUCUAGGAUUGGAGGGUAUGGAUUUAACUCCUUCCUUUUAUGAAUUAUUUAAUUCCAUUGAUUUCUUCCUAGCAAGAAUUUUCCUCUUCCAUGUUCUCUUAUUUAGUUGUCAUCAAUCAACAAAGAAUAUAAUCUUAUUGGUAGGUAAAUUUCAGAUUCUAGCAUACCUAAUAUGCCCUAUAGUACAUACAUGCAAUUCCUUUUUUUUUUUUUUUUUAUUGUUAGGACAUAUGCAUCAUUGGUUGGAAGGAGUAAAGGUAUAGGAAACAAAAAGUCAUAGAUACUACUACUAUUUUAUAUUUAUUCCAAAGAGAAGUCAAAUGAAAUCCUUCUUCAAAAUUACUAAAGAACAAUAAGGAGGCAAGAAAAAAGGAUAGACAGCAAAGCAAAGCAAAAUCAAAGUUCAAACUUUCUUUAAAAAAAAAAAAAAAAAAAAAUUCCCCAAAUGCCCAAUGCCUAAAAUGCAUUAUUUGGGCCGAGUUAAGUAAAGACAAACUAACUCUGGCGGUGGACUAAUCCCCAAGUGAUCCAGCAGCCCCACUCUGGCCUCCCCCUUCCAAUGUUCCUAUUGCAUUUUUUUGCUUUUGGGGGUAACUCCUUGUCUUGUUGAUCAUUGUUUCGCUCCAUCGUCUUUGAUCUUUCCCAUGUCUAGUCUUUCUCAUGCAAUUUUCCAUUCAAUUAACGAAUUCCGGUAAAAGGAAAAACUUUGCAGCACAAGGAAAAUUAUGAAACGUCAAAAUGGUGAAUCAUUCAUUAGUCGCUAAAAAGGAAAUUCGCAAUUUUUUCUCCACUACCUUGGCCUUACAUAAAAGAAGACAUCAGUUAAUCCUUUACCUUUUUCAAUCUGGGCUCAUUAAGUAAAAGUCGGUACCAAAACAAAACCCUCAUGAGUAGAAUAGUAUUGCAGUACAUGAAUUCAAAUGACAUUUCAAGAAUUUUAAAAAUUUCACUCGCAUUCUUGUGAAUUCUAAAAAGUUAAUUUGUAUUAUGAAUUUGGCCUUAAGAAAUUAUUCUGAUAUCAGCUACUUGCCCCUCUUCCCAAGCUUGAGAAUUUGGUAUUCUGUUGAAAUAUUUUUGACAUUUUACUUUUGCCCCACAAAAACUUCAAACCUUCUAUUUCCAAACAUCGAAGUAAAUGAGCCUAAUUAAAUCAAGCACUCGAGUCUUCAAACUUGUCUGUAAAUUCUAAAUAAUUUAAAAUUGUGUUUAAAUUUGGCUUCUUUAUUCAUUGUUUUGAGUUCACGUGAGCUUUUAUCGAAUUUUUCACAUACAAAUUUGUCACUUAAAUUAGUGAGAAAAUAUUUAAUCAAAUCAUUAGAAAUAUCAUAUGUGGUUAUUUAGGCCACACAAAAUAUAUAUUCUAACAUGAUGUCGUCAACCAAGCUUAUAGUUGGACAAUAAGAUACGUGAGAUUUUAUUCUUUGUUAAUCAUCCAUUAUAAGUUCUUUUGUAUUCAUCCAUUACAAUGGAUAGCUUCUAGAUAUAUAUGCUGGAUUAUGCAAGCUAAUGUUCCACAGUCAGGAGCAGCUGUUUCAAAGCCAUUUCUUGGGUUGCCCUUCGGAAACUAACAACACCAGCACAAUCCAUAAGGUCCACUAAAUUUGUUUCAUGUUCUCAUUUUUCGCUUCAGGAGGACAAAAAUAAGAACCACAUCCUGAUUCUCAGGGUUAAAGAGAGAGGAAGACUCUGCGAGUUUCUGCGUAAACAGUUCAAACAAUUCAUCCAUGAUAUCACUUCCAAAUUGUUUCUCUAGAAGUCCCUCUAAUACAGCUCUGUGGUGCAAAGCAAUUCCACAAGGGUUGGACAAAAACUCAUGCUUUCCUGGAAUGCUUAAUUUCUCCAUUCUCUGAACAUUUAGAUGUUCAUUUGCCUUCAUCAGGGUCUUUAUCUCAUUAAGAGAUGUGUAAUAUAGUGGUAUGUUGAACGUAUCCACUUUCAAUUCAUCAACCAGUCCCUGCAAUAAGUGCAUCUUAGUAAUUAAACUACUUUUUUUUUAGCCAAAACCUGCAGUCGAAAUUUGAAGAUAAACUUUGACCAAAACUCAUAUAGUAUAUAGAAAUUAGAGAAACUGUAAAAUUCCUACUCAUGGAUUUGCAACUGCUAUUUUUUAACCUGCAGUCGAAAUUUGAAGAUAAACUUUGACCAAAACUCAUAUAGUAUAUAGAAAUUAGAGAAACUGUAAAAUUCCUACUCGUGGAUUUGCAACUGCUAUUUUUAAGCUGAAGACAUGUUUCAGAAAUUAUGGAACAUAGUUAAUAGCUUAUUCAUGACCAAGGAGGUAUUCCAUUCAUUCUCUACCAUUGCUUUUCUGUUCUGUCCAUGGUUGUUACAAGUAGUAACUUUGACAUAUGAAGCUCACUUCCAUCCAAUACUUUGCACCUUUUUUUCAGCGAAAUAAGUACAUAAGUUUAGAGGGUAAGCACAUAAUAUCAAAAUAAUAUUUUAUACUUGCAAAUAGGAAUGUAAAAUGAGCGAAACUACGUUACACUCGAAUUGAGGUUGAACUGGUAAAAGCUAAUUUGCGCUUAGGUCUCCAAUUAAUCAAACCAAACAUGAACAAUAUUUUGUAUCCAAUAAAAUUUCAAAUCUGAAAUCGAGCUUGGCUGACUUAACAUGGUAUAUGAAAUUUAUAUGUGAAAAAUUUAAUCGAAUUUGACUUGAUAAAAGCUCAUCUAAAUUCAGUGCAAUAAAUAAAUAAAUUAAAUUUAAAUACAAUUUUAAACUCUUUAGAAUAGAUAGACAAGUUUGACAACUUGAGUGCUUGGCUCAAUUAGCUUCAUUCAUAGCCCUAUUUGCAAGUAAAAGUUCUGAAAUUUUUUGCGGGGCAAAUAUAAAAUGUCAAAAAUAUUUCCACAGAAUACCAGAUUCUCAAUUCUCAAGCUUGGGGAGAAGGGCAAUUUCUUAAGGCAAAAUUAUAAUACAAAUAAACUUUUUAAAAUUCAUAAGAGGGCAAAUGAAUUUUUUAAAAUUCUUGAGGGGUGGCUGCCCCUCCCUGCAAAGAUCCGAUCCAACAAAACUCCUGCCCCGCAGGCUCAUAGAAGUGUUAAAAAGAAUUCCAAAUGUCAUUUGAGUUCAAAAAUGAAUAAUUUAACUAUCUAAAACUAUUUAGGAUAUAUUAGAUCAUAAUUCAAAUUUAAUGUUAUUCAAGUGACAAAGAAAAUCAAAAUUCUAUGUUGCAUCCCUGCAUUGAGAUGUAUUCGCAUAGAGUUCUUAGUUGAAGAUCUGAAACUAAUGAAAUCUAACCUUCUUAGCCAAGUCCAUGAGACAAGAUCCUAGAACUUCAUAUCCUUUCUCUGGGACGAUAGUUGUCUGAGAUUCACGGAUGGCAUCAGGGACAGUAGGAAUAACAAGGGCCAUCAACCCUCCAUCGACGAGCUCGUGUGCCCUUGCAUUCAGAAAUGACUCCAGGUCCUUGGCAAAUUGAGAUGCAUAAACCUCAAGAAGUUCCUUUUUGGCCCCUCCGUGGUGAAUCUUUCCUUUGUUCCAUGCAGGGGACGUGUUGUCUGUAACCUCAUUUGGCACAUCUGAAAGCCAGUUAAGCGUGCAAGACGAGUGAGCAAAAUGAAGGGAUGCCUUUGGGAGCAAAACCUUGUGGAAAUCACCAGGCACUCCAGCUGCAAGGUAGUGUCUCUCUGGUGGAAGUGAAGCAAAAAGUGUGUUGAAAUCAUUAGAUAUAUGGUCAUUAAAAAAGACUUGAAACUCAGGGACUUCAGAUGCUAGUCCCUCUUUUCUGAGUUUUUCCUCCAGGGCUUCUCUUAUCGCUUUCAUGGCCACAAAUGUAUUUGGUCCUGUAGAACAGCCAAAAUCUGCUAUUCGAAAUGGAUGCACAGAGGUUGAAGAAAGUUGCUUGACAUCAAGUUCUUUGUCAAUCUCUUCUUUGAUAAGUUCUUUUGCAGCGUCUACUGCUCCUCUCUGCCGCAAAAAAAAAAAAAGAAAAUAAAUAAAAUCUUUACGUAAGUCUUAUAGACCUUAGACAUUUAUAAUGAGGUAAUUGCAAUUUAAACUAGCAACCUGAUAGGAUGAGUUUUGGGCAUAGCUUUGAGGUCCAUUUCCUCCAUUCAUGGCAUAUACUUGAGGCAUUUUUUUCUAUCUAUAUCUCUUCUCUUACCAUGUCUUGAUAUCUCUGCCUGGAUGGUUUAAUUUAUACUAGGCAGAAGCUUAGGAUUAAGUGUUGUCUUUUAGCCCUUUACACGUGAUAGGGUGCAUUUUAGUGGCAUAUUUUGGAUAAUAUUACGUAAUUGUUUGACUAAAUAUUGCACUAAUUGGAUGGAUUUUACUCAGAUGUGGUGUUUGGUAUUAAUUACAGGGAUUGAUGCUGAAAAGUGCUUAAAAUCACAUUUAGAAGGACUUCCUGAUGAGUAGGCGUGCCCACGUCUAACUCCAGCCCUCAGAGCCGGAUCUCCGUGGUUCGUCACACAUGGGGUACUUCAAGCAGUGGAUUCGCUUAAAAAAAUUGAAGAAAUUAAAUUGUAAUAGGUUUCCUUUUAUUUAGGGAGUGUUGGUAUUUAAAUACCAAUUUUUGAAAAGGAGUAAAAACUAGACUUGGGGGAACCGUUUUGUUUUCCUCUCUGGUGGGACCGGCCGAUAACAAGGAAAUCAAUUCCUUCAUUUUCGGCGGCUACCAACGAAAAAGGGGAUUUUGUACUAUGAGUAGGUUUUGGCCUUGGACAUGAUUCGUUUUUUGGUUUUUGCUUUGAAAGACAAUUGAGGAAAAAACAGAGAAAGGCCCAAUGAAAUGGAAGCAUUGAGAUCUAGUUGAUACUUAUCUUAGUUAGACUUCUUCCAAACAUCUAGAGGCUUUGCUUAAGGUAAAAACACUCGCCACUUGUUCACAAACCCGCUCCGCAACGUUCAUUGGCAGUUGAAAUAAGACAUUCUGGUUUCUAGAAGAAGGUUCCUUCAUUGUUGACUUUUUGAAUUGCUUUUCCUGUCUUGGGUUGACCGAAUUGAAUGAACAAGAGAAAGGUUCUCUCGUAUGUUUUUGCAAACCAAUUAGGAGAAAAGCAACAAUUCAGCCGCCAUUGUUGACUAAGGUUCUCUCGUAUGUUUUUGCAAACCAAUUAGGAGAAAAGCAACAAUUGAGCUGCCAUUGUUGACUAUUGGUUCUUGAUUUUUAUUUUUGGUUGACAAAAAUUGAAGGAAAAGCCAGACUCUCUCGUACGCUUGCUUUGGGGAACAAAUUGAGAGCACGAAAUUCCUUGUUCUUUCCUUUCCUGGGUUGACUUGUCACGCCCCAAGCUCGCACGAGUCUGUCACGUGGCAUCCGUCGUAUUCUCAAAUCUCGCUCAAGAAUACAAGGCAUCAUUUAACUAUACUAAACUUUAAAAAUAUUAAAUAAUAUAACUACAUAAAUUGUGGUACAAAUAUCAUAUAAAAGGUAGUCUACAAAUAUUCAAUAAAUUCAUACAUUUAUUCUCUGAUCGAAACAGCGGAAACAGGGUAGAUAAAAUUAACAACUAGAAGCAGUUAGUUCACUUAAAAACUAAUAAAAGUCAUCCUCAGAGUCUUCUACGUAAAUUAAUUCGUACUCUUCAGAAUCUGCAAAGAUGGUAAAAAGUGGGUUGAGCGACAAAUCGUUCAGUAGGUAAUAUCUACCCCUCUGUUGGACCAUAUACUUGUAACUUUAUAGAUACAUAUAUAGAUACCAAUCAAAUCAUUUGUGCAUCGAUCACAUCCAUAAUCUUGAAAGUAACGUCGUUUAUAAAACAAUCAGUAGUAAUGGGUGGCAAGCAAUUUAAAAGUAUCUUAUUAAUACAUGUACAUGAAAAAUCAUAAAGCCAUAAAUCAUCUCGUCUCAAUUCACAAGUCUCUUCAUAUCCAUUCAUAAAUAAAUUCAUAAAUUAGUUCACAAGUUUCAUUUCAGAUCAGUUCAUAAAUCAUUUCGUAUCAACUCAUAACAAGUACAGGUGAUGACUGGCUACUGAGUACUCAACCUAGAGAUUAAACUCCUUCUAAGUAGGUGACCAAUAAGUUUCAUGACUACCGAUUGGUCUCAUUUCAUACAUGGAUCAAUUGGCCGGACUUUAUACCAGGUUACCAUGACCUUGCCAAUCGGUUGGAAUUUAUACCAGACUACCAUGGCUUUGUCAAUCGGCAGGACUCUAUGCCAGACUACCAUGACCUUGCUAAUCGGCCGGACUUUAUACCAGGUUACCAUGACGAUUAGACAGGACUAUAGCCCCUACCGUCUAUUCCAUGACUGUUUUGAACUUUACUUGUCAAAAAUUCAUUUCACACAUCACAUACAUAAAUCUUUGAUUUCAUAAAAGAUUCAACUCGUUUGGUAUAUAAUAACAUUUCAAAACAUUUCAAAUAAGUCACAUGGUCCAUUUUUGUCUAGUAAAAAUAUAACUUUCAUAAAUAUCCAAGUAAAGCAUUUAAUCAAAUAUAUUUCGAGUCAACACAACAAAAUAAGAUUGAAAACAAAAAUUUCAUUUUUGCACCUUUGAAAUCUCAGAAGGGUAAGUACCAGCUAUCUUCGUUUGGUUGCUCGAGUAGAACUACGUUAGAUCUUUUAAAUUGGUACCGUACCUAUCAAAUGUAUAGGUUUCCUAAUUAGUUGAUAUUUCCUAUAGAUACAUGAUAUACAAACUCUGAGUAAGUCGAAAAUUCAUGUCUAGACCACUGUAUGAACCCUAACAGCAUUUCCCCUAAAUUGGACGAUUUCCAUUUUUGGAAAGUUUCCUAAUUUGAAAAGUUUCUAUUUUUAGAAAUUUUCUUAAUUUGGAAAGUUCACCCUUUUUGUAAAGUUUUAUAAUUUAAAAGAAAAUAAUUAUUCCUAAUUAUGGUUAUUAUCUUGACUAUUAUCUUAUUAUACAUAUUUAUAAUUUAUAAUUAUUCAUUAUCAUUAUUAUCGUCCUUGUCGUCGCUACUUUAUUUUAUUACCAUAUAUAUAUAUAUUUGUAUAUUAGUUACUAUUAUCUUUUGCUUUACUUUCACUUUUGUUGUGUAUGUGUAGGUGUUAUAUUAUUUAUAUAAAUAUUGAUUUAUUAUUAUUAUAAUUAUCGUCUUAGUUUAUUCCAUUUUUAUUUAUCUUUUAAUUUAAUUUUCAUUUAUAUCUCUAAUUUAUUUUAUCUAUAUCUAUAUUGUUACUAUUAUUACCAUUAUUAUUAUUAUUAUUAUUAUUAUUAUUAUUAUUACCGUUGGUGUUAUCGUUAGUAUUAUUAUUAUUAUUAUUGUUAUUAUUUUAAGCGUCUCGUUUAACAACUUAGAAUUUAUUUUACAUAGUCUAAAUUAACCUCAUAUGGCUAAAUUAAGAUGUUUUAAAUUUCUAUUUAGGUACUUUAGACUUGAUCAAUUAAAUAAGAUUUCAAAUAAUUAACCCUUCAAUUCUAACGACUACUUUAGAUUGGGUCCUAAAUUUUAAUACCCACAAUAAACCAUAAAAAUGGACUAGUUAUAUUUAAAAUUUAUUUCUUAAACAUCUACUAAAUUUUAUACUAUAGUUUGGUCCAAAUUUAAAUUGCCUCCCUUUUUAUUUAUUAUUAUUUUCCUUAUUAUUAUUAUUAUUUUUUAUUUUUCCUCGAGUAGGACCCGUGGUUUGGCCAACCAUGUCUGACCAUGGUCGCCAGACUCUCUGGCGACCCAAUUCCUCAAUUGGUUGACCGAAAAGGCCAACCAUAAUCUUGUUCAUUGUCGCCAGCACUUGCUGGCGACAUCAUUAUCAUCAUCUCUUUUUUUUUUUUUGGCCUUAGGUUGGCCAAAAGACCAACAUUUGCAAAUUCUUUCUCUGCCGCUAGAGAUGGCGGCCCCCACCCUUCUUUUUUUUUUUUUUUUUGGUGUGUGGCGUUGCAGAAGCAACGCCUAGCCAAAAUAGAGCAGCGGUAGCCGCCACUACUCUUCUCCAUUUUUUUUCCUUUUUUUUUCCACAGAUUCAAUCAUCCUAUAAUCCCAAAAUUAAAAUCUAACACCCUAUCUAUUAAUCCGGAUAUGAAUCUUCCUAAAAACGUAUUUAUCUACACAUAUGCAGCAACAAUACAUAUCUGUAAAAUUCCUAGGGCAAUUAAUGCAACUAUUAAAACUUAAAAGAAAAGUUUUGCGUGAACUCAGGACUUACAAGUUCAGAUACCUAGUUAUCUGAUCGAUUGACAGCGUCGCCUGCUUCUCCUUCUCUACUCUCCGACGACUCUUGCUCUAGGGAGGCAGACGAAAGAAGGGUGAGAGUGGUGUUAUUUUUCUGUCUAGGGUUUCACUAAAAUUCUAAACCUAGCUCUAGCUACUAGUAGGUGGUUUGGAUAAAAGUUUUAGUUUAUUAGGAACCCUUAUCCCAUCCUAUAGUUAUUUUAUUUUAUUUUAUCUAGUAAUUUUAUCUUUUUAAUUAAUUGAAAAAAUAAAAUAAAAUAACAAAAAUAGGUGCCCAAAAAUCGUGGGUUUUACAUUCUACCCUCCUUACAAAGAGUUUCGUUCUCGAAACUUACGUACCUUGAUAAAAAGAUAGCGAUGUCUAUUCCGCAUGUCUUCUUCUAACUCCUACAUUACCUCUCGUGGUGUAUGGUUCGUCCAUUGCACUUUCACGUAGGGUAUAGUUGUUUUCCUUAGGACUUGAUUCUUAUGAUCCACGAUUCUCAAAGGAACUUCCUCCACUGAUAAGUUCUCCCUCACCUCGAUGGGUUGUCCUCCAAAAUAUGGUUUGGGUCAGAUACAUACUUCUUCUGUUAAGAGACAUGAAAAACAUUAUGUAUCCUCGAUAGCACAAGUGAAAAGGUCAGUCGACAUGCUAAAGGUUCCACUCUCUCUAGUAUUUCGUAAGGUCCUAUAUGUCUUGAACUUAACUUACCACUCCUUCCAUAUCUCAUCACUCCCUUGGUGGGGGAUACUUUCAAAUAUACCCUUUUCUUCCUGUUGAAAUGCUAAAGGCCUCCUCUUUGAAUCCGUCCAACUCUUGUUUCGAUCCUGAGUUACUUUUAAUUUUCCUUGAAUAAUUUUAAUUUUCUCUAAAGUUCCUUCCACCAAAUCGAGGCCAGUGAUCAGUUUCUCACCUACUUCGUCCCAAUAUAAGUGAGAUCUACCCUUUCGCCCAUACAGCUUUUCAAAUGGUGCCAUACCUAUCCUGGUAUGAUAGUUAUUAGUGUACAAAAACUCCAUUAGUUUCACCAUCCUAUCCCAACUAUCCGAGAAGUCUAGAACACAAGCUCUUAGCAUGUCCUCCAAUGUCUGUACAAUUCUUUCUAACUAUCCAUUCAUUUGGGGGUGGAAGGCGGUAUUUGAUCUUAGGUAUCAAUCCCUAUAAUCUGUUGGUAGGGCGACCAAAAUCUAGACGUGAAUCUAGGAUCCCGGUCCGACACUACUUUCGCAAUUCAUUUUUAAACUAGAUAUCACAUUCUCUCCCCUUUUAAAGGUUUCAUCCUCGAAAUCUAAAAGACAUAAACAUCAAGAUAAGUUGACAAAAUUUCCAAUGUCCAAAUUAGAUUUUCCCAUUUAAUUCUAUCAGACUUCUGCUGCACACUCUUAUUUUUCUUAAUACCUUCCAUGUUCAUAUUUUUAUAACUCAAAUGAACAUAAUCUCUCUCACAAAUCCGGCGUUCUAAAUAUCGGUUUAGAAUACUCCAUAGAGAUCAACCUAUAAGAAGGAUGCCAUAAACACUAAUAGUACCAUUUCUUCUUUUGUCACACAUUCUAUCACAACAUACUUAUCUACUAUCACAAAAAGUAAUCAUUAUCUCAAUAUAUGAGUUCCUACCCAAUGUGUUUGUAAUUGGUAACGGAAAUCUCUUAUUUCUCUCAAAUCUCAAAUCUAAAAUAGCAUCACACCUAAUUUCAGAUCCUAUAACCUGAGUUAUUAUACCACUAAAUGUCAUGGGAAUCUUACUUAUUAUCAUUUUUUUUCUAACCUAGCUCAAUUCAAUUUCCGAAAACAUUAAUAUCUCAAAUAUCAUUUCACAAACUUCUUGAUCAUACAAAAAUAUAGAAAAUUUUUUCAAAAAAUUAUCACCAAAUUUUCAUAUUGGAAUAUAACAACUUUAUCAUAACUUUGGUAAAGUAUUUAUCUAUGUGUAAAAUUUCAAACUCAGUAAAGUUUAGAAACAUACUAGUGUUUGAAAUACAUAAGCCAACUAACUAUACUUCUUACAGCAUUAGAAUUUAGAGUACAAAGAGAAUUUAUCAAGAAUUAUUGUUAGAUUUUUCUAUACGAUAAGAGAAAAUAUUUUUUUUUGUAGAAUACUUUUAUCUAAAGCUCUUUUUUUGAGAUUGGAUGAGUAUAAAAAAAAAUAUUUUGCACAAGAUUGUAGGAUAUAAUUAUUCAAUGUAUUUAUUCUUUUUUUUUUAUAGUUAUAUACAUAUAUAUAUUUAGAAACUAUAUUUACCAAGCAACUGUGAGGUAAGGUACAUAUUAAAAAAAUUCUGAUUAAAAACUAUUUGUGCAAUUAAAAUUUUGGUUUCACCGUUUAUUCACUUUUAAGUAAAAAGUAUGUAAAAUUAUAUAUUGUAAGAAAUUUAUGAAAUAUGUAUUGCCUGAUCAUGACGUAAUAAUUCCAGAACUAAUAAUAUCCACUAAUUUAAUAAAUAUCUUGAGCAUUAGAUCUAAUUAUUAUAAACCUCAAAAUAAGUCAACAAAAUUCCAAGAUCCAACGUGUAUUGCUUGCGUUCGAUGACAUCAUAUUGUUGAUCAUUCAUACUUUCGUUGUGCACUCUAAUUUCCUCAACAUUUUCAGUUGUCUCUAUACUAGACUUCAACUAGACAUUAGAUUAUCUAUAAAUCUGACAUCUUAAAUGAUAAACUUAGAAAUGUACUAUAGAAAUCAAAACUGACAAAAAGAACACCAUAAAUACCCCUUUUUUUUUUGUAAGUAUCAAUCAUAUCUGACAGGUGAGCUUGGUUACCUUUUCAACUUAACAUAUACAUAUAGUCACCACUUACUUACUAAAAGUAAUCAUCAUCUCAAUACCUGAGGUCAUUCCAGUAAAUUCGUAAUCUAAAAUUCUAAUACCAUUAAAUGUUAUGGAGUCACUUAUUUUCUUUUAAUCCCUUAUCCAUUUCAUUCCAAUUCUCAAAAUCACAAAUAUCUUCAGUAGCUUUACACCUACUUCCAAUUAUCACAACUUGAGCUUUGAUACUACAAAAAAAUCACAGCAAUCUCUUACUUCUUUUGAUCUAUUUUUCCAUCUCCUUUCAAUUUACAACAGACAAUACUUCAAAUACACAUAAUAUUUCCUACACGUCCGACAUCUUAAACGUAUAGUGUACUACCAAAAUUACAUCCAAUAAAAGGACAUCAUAAACACCAAUCGUACCAUUUCAACUAUUCAUACAUGCAAAUUUUCAAACCUAUUUAUUUAGUCACAAUUGAUCAUUUCCUAGGGUAUACUUCAUCUAAAGAGUAAAUCGUACCUCAUGCUUUGUUAUUACUAAAUAUUAUAAAAAUCUCUUAUUUCACAAUCUUCUAUCCAACCUCAUUCCCAUUUUCUAAAAUCACUAAUAUUACAAAUAUCAUUCAACAUACAUCUAGAUCGCAUAACCUAAACUUUGAUAACAUUAAAAAUCACAUGAAUCUCUUAUUUCCUUUAAUCAUCUUUUCCUUUUCAUCUCAUUUCAAUUCUCAAAACCCCUAAUACCUCAAAAAUCAUUUCACAUACUUUCGGACCAUAUAACCUAAGCUCUGAUACCACUAAAAAUAUCACGCCCCGAACCCGCACGUGCCCGUCACAUGGCAUCGGCCGUAUUCUCAAAUCCCGCUCAAGAAUACAAGGCAUCAUUUAACUAUACUAAACUUUAAAAGUAUUAAAUAAUAUAACUACAUAAAGUGCGGUACAAAUAUCAUAUAAAAGAUAGUCUACAAAUAUCCAAUAAAUUCGUACAUUUAUUCUCUGAUCGAAACAGCGGAAACAGGGUUGAUAAAAUUAACAACUAGAAGUAGCUAGUUCACUUAAAAACUAAUAAAAGUCGUCCUCAGAGUCUUCUACGUAAAUCAAUUCGUACUCUUCAGAAUCUGCAAAGAUGGUAAAAAGUGGGUUGAGCGACAAAUCGCUCAAUAGGUAAUAUCUACACCUCUGUUGGACCAUAUACUCGUAACUUUAUAGAUACAUAUAUAGAUACCAAUCAAAUCAUUUGCGCAUCGAUCACAUCCAUAAUCUUGAAAGUAACGUCAUUUAUAAAACAAUCAGUAGUAAUGGGUGGCAAGCAAUUUAAAAGUAUCUUAUUGACACAUGUACACGAAAAAUCAUAAAGCCAUAAAUCAUCUCAUCUUAAUUCACAAGUCUCUUCAUAUCCAUUCAUAAAUAAAUUCAUAAAUCAGUUCACAAGUCUUAUUUCAGAUCAGUUCAUAAAUCAUUUCGUAUCAGCUCAUAACAAGUACAGGUGAUGACCGGCUACUGAGUACUCAACCUUGAGAUUAAGCCCCUUCUAGGUGGACGACCAAUAGGUUUCAUGACUACCGAUUGGUCUCAUUUCAUACAUGGGUCAAUCGGCCGGACUUUAUACCAGGCUACCAUGACCUUGCCAAUUGGCCGGACUUUAUACCAGGCUAUCAUGACUUUGUCAAUCGGCCGGACUCUAUACCAGACUACCAUGACCUUGCCAAUCGGCCGGACUUUAUACCAAGUUACCAUGACGAUUAGAUAGGACUAUAGCCUCUACCGUCUAUUCCAUGACUAUUUUGAACUUUACUUGUCAAAAAUUCAUUUCACACAUCACAUACAUAAAUCUUUGAUUUCAUAAAAGAUUCAACUCAUUUGGUAUAUAAUAACAUAUCAAAACAUUUCAAAUAAGUCACAUGGUCCAUUUUUGUCUAAUAAAAAUAUAACUUUCAUAAAUAUCCAAGUAAAGCAUUUAAUCAAAUAUUUUUCGAGUCAAUACAACAAAAUAAGAUUGAAAACAAAAAUUUCAUUUUUGCACCUUUGAAAUCUCAGAAGGGUAAGUACCACCUACCUUCGUUUGGUUGCUCGAGUGGAACUACGUUAGAUCUUUUAAACUGGUACCGUACCUAUCAAAUGUAUAGGUUUCCUAAUUAGUUGAUAUUUCCUAUAGAUACAUGAUAUACAAAUUCUGAGUAAGUCGAAGAUUCAUGUCUAGAUCACUGUAUGAACCCUUACAGCAUUUCCCCUAAAUUGGACGAUUUCCAUUUUUGGAAAGUUUCAUAAUUUGAAAGUUUCUAUUUUUAGAAAUUUUCUUAAUUUGGAAAGUUCACCCUUUUUGUAAAGUUUUAUAAUUUAAAAGAAAAUAAUUAUUCCUAAUCAUGUUUAUUAUCUUGACUAUUAUCUUAAUAUACAUAUUUAUAAUUUAUAAUUAUUCAUUUUCAUUAUUAUCGUCCUUGUCAUCGCUACUUUAUUUUAUUACCAUUUAUAUAUAUAUAUAUUUGUAUAUUAGUUACUAUUAUCUUUUGCUUUACUUUCACUUUUGUUGUGUAUGUGUAGGUGUUAUAUUAUUUAUAUAAAUAUUGAUUUAUUAUUAUUAUAAUUAUCGUCUUAGUUUAUUCCAUUUUUAUUUAUCUUUUAAUUUAAUUUUCAUUUAUAUCUCUAAUUUAUUUUAUCUAUAUCUAUAUUGUUAUUAUUAUUACCAUUAUUAUUAUUAUUAUUAUUACCGUUGGUGUUAUCGUUAUUAUUAUUAUUAUUAUUAUUAUUAUUAUUAUUAUUAUUAUUAUUAUUGUUAUUAUUUUAAGCGUCUCGUUUAACAACUUAGAAUUUAUCUUACAUAGUCUAAAUUAACCUCAUACGGCUAAAUUAAGAUGUUUUAAUUUUCUAUUUAGGUACUUUAGACUUGAUCAAUUAAAUAAGAUUUCAAAUAACUAACCCUUCAAUUCUAACGACUAUUUUAGAUUGAGUCCUAAAUUUUAAUACCCACAAUAAAUCAUAAAAAUGGACUAGUUGUAUUUAAAAUUUAUUUAUUAAACAUCUCCUAAAUUUUAUAUUAUAGUUUGGUCCAAAUUUAAAUUGCCUCCCUUUUUAUUUAUUUUUAUUUUCCUUUUUAUUAUUAUUAUUUUUAAUUAUUUUUCCUCGAGUGGGACCCAUGGUUUGGCCAACCAUGUCUGACCAUGGUCGCCAGACUCUCUGGCGAACAAUUCCUCAAUUGGUUGGCCGAAAAGGCCAACCAUAAUCUUGUUCGUUGUCACCAGCACUUGCUGGCGACAUCAUCAUCAUCUCUCUUUUUUUUUUUUGGCCUUAGGUUGGCCGAAAGACCAACCUUUGCAAAUUCUUUCUCUGCCGCCAGAGAUGGCGGCCCUCACCCUUCUUCUUUUUUUUUUUUUUGGCCAAAACAGAGCAGCGGCUUCUCCAUUUUUUUUCCUUUUUUUUUUUCACAGAUUCAAUCAUCCUAUAAUCCCAAGAUUAAAAUCUAACACCCUAUUUCUAUUAAUCCGGAUAUGAAUCUUCCUAAAAACGUAUUUAUUUACACAUAUACAGCAACAAUAUAUAUCUGUAAAAUCCUUAGGGCAAUUAAUGCAACUAUUAAAAUUUAAAAGAAAAGUUUUGCGUGAACUCGGGACUUACAGGUUCAGAUGCCUAGUUAUCUGAUCGAUUGAUGGCGUUUGCUUCUUCUUCUCUACUCUCCGACGACUCUUGCUCUAGGGAGGCAGACGAAAGAACGGUGAGAGUGGUGUUAUUUUUCUAUCUAGGGUUUCACUAAAAUCCUAAACCUAGCUCUAGCUACUAGUUGGCGGUUUCGAUAAGAGUUUUAGUUUAUUAGAAACCCUUAUCCUAUCCUAUAGUUAUUUUAUUUUAUUUUAUUUUAUUUUAUCUAGUAAUUUUAUCUUUUUAAUUAAUUGAAAAAAUAAAAUAAAAUAACAAAAAUAGGUGUCCAAAAAUCGUGGGUUUUACAUGAAUGAUUCGAGAAACAAGAAUUGAUGGCUCCUGUCACAUAUAUUCGCAUGGGCCGCUCUCUAAUUAUGGAGAACUAAAUCCCUAAUUCUAGUCAAGGGGGCAACUGACGAUUUGGUUCGCCAAUUACAGUGAGAUCUAAAUCGCUUUUGAUUAUUUUUUUUCAUUUAUUGGUAUUUAUAUGUUUCCUACUAUUAAUUGUUAUAACUCUUGUGUAUGAUUGAUUAGUGCGUAAUAAUUAAUUAUUUAUAUAGGCUAUUUUGUUAAUUAGGGGUAAUUGAAUCCGUAAUGUUCGAUUCCAUCUCAGUAAUAACUGGCGUAAUUGGAUUUAUGUCAGAGAAUCAUACAAUCUAAUUUAAACAAACUCUCAUAGCGUGUUUGUUGGUUAGAAUUGGAUUUUUCUAAUUAUUAAUACAAUCUAGAAAUUAAAUCCUACGGCCGUAACUAAAACUAUUUUCGGGUUAGAGAAAUAGUUAACGGUAGUACUUUAACUAUCGAGAAAUUAAGGAAAUGUUGGUUGUUUAUCGCGUGCAAGACAACUAUAACCAAUCUAUUAAUAAAUAUGAAAUUAUCUGUGAAUCGAUGAUCAGUGUAUGAACCAUUUUUGAAGUGUACCUUUGGUUAGAGUUUUCCUAAUUAUUUCUUUUAAUUAAUUAAUUUCUAUAUUUGAUUUAUUUAAUUCAUUAGCAUAUAAUCUCAAAGCCCCUAUUUAUCCUGACUCGAAAGGAAAUAAAUUUCUCCCCAUUCCCUGAGGAGACGAUCCUACUUGCCACUGUCUAUUAGUUAGUGAAUUUUAGUCAAAUAAUUAAUUCGAGUAUAUUAAAUUCAGCAAACUCUUCGGGAAUAGGGUAAAUCAAGUAACCCAUUGCAUACCUAGAAUCCCUACUCCAGUAUCUAAAAUUAAUUAUUGACUACUUUUGGUAGUAGUUAGGUUUUUAUUUACUAUUAUUGCACAGGUUCGACACCUGUAAUUUUUUGGCGCCGUUGUCGGGGAACUGGCGUUCGAAUUAUUUAUUUCUUUUUUAAUUCAGUUUUUUUUAGUAUUUUUGUUAGUUUAUGCCUCGUUCUUCUCGCACAAAUGAAUUGAUAUACGACCCUGAGAUUGAGAAGGCAGCGCAUAGGUAAAGACAAAAGACCAGGAGACGAAAAGAAGAGCAAUCAUCUAUUACUAACGAGUCAGUAGAGGACGAUUAUAGCAUGGCAAACAACCAAACACUAUGGGAGUUGACUGCCCCGGAAUUGACUCACCAGCCCUUGUGCAUUACAUUCCCAACUUUGGCUGAGAAUAUCGCCUUCGAGUUGAAGUCGGGGUUGAUUCACUUCUUACCCUCAUUCCAUGGUUUCUCUGGUGAAGAACUCCACAAACACGUCAAGGAGUUCGAAAUGGUUAGCUCUAACAUGAAACCUCCUGGGGACACUGAAGAGCAAAUUAAAUUAAGAGCUUUUCUUCUCUCUCAAGGAUGUAGUUAAAGAUUGGCUAUACUACCUACCCGUAGGUAGUAUUACCACAUGGGUACAGUUGAAAAGAAAUUUUUAGAAAAAAUUCUUCCCUGCAUCCCGAGCUAUGAGUCUGAGGAAGGAGAUAUGCAUCAUUAAAUAGUAUCCCGAGAAGUCCUUGUAUGACUAUUGGGAAAGGUUCAAUAAAUUGUGUACUAGAUGUCCGCAGCAUCAAAUUAGUGAACAACUAUUAAUCCAGUACUUCUAUAAAGGGCUCCAGUUAACUGACAGAAGUAUCAUUAACGCUGUGAGUAGAGGAGCACUGGCAAACAAGACAUCGAAGGAAGCGUGGGAGCUUAUUGAAGCCAUGACAGAAAACUUUCAGCAAUUUGGCUUCUGUGAGAGCAACCCUACCUGUAGGGUCAACGAGGUAGAGACGUCAUCUAUUCAGCAGCAAUUGUCAGAGCUGACAUCUGUUGUUAGGCAAUUAACCAUGGAGAAUACGCAGCGAGCGAAGGUUUGUGGAAUCUGUACAAGUAUGGACCACUGUACUGACACAUGUCCCCUUUUGCAAGAGGUUGGGGCGGAACAGGUAAAUAUGACCGGAGACGUGCCAGCGCCCCGUAGGCAGUAUGGCCCAUACUCCAACACGUAUAACCCCGGUUGGAGAGACCAUCCCAAUUUCAGCUAUGGGAACAGGCCACAAAAUUCAUUCUCUAAUCGUCCACCAGGGUUUCAGCAACCAUGGCAACCAAAGUCUCAACCUUCAUCCUCCAAUUCAGGAAGCUCUUUGGAGGAUAUUGUCAAGAGUCUGGUCACGACUACCACUCAACUCCAACAAGAAACUAGAUUCUUGGUUACGAUUACUGCUCAACUCCAGUAAGAGACUGGAUCCUUGGUCACGAACACUACUCAGUUCCAGCAGGAUACCAGAGCAGGCAUGAAAGACAUGGAGACUCGAAUGAGUCAAAUGGCAACUGUCAUUAAUCGCGUGGAAUCCCACGUUUAUGAAAAAUUGUCUUCGCAACCCGAGACAAAUCUCAAGAAUGUAAGUGCCAUGACAUUGAGAAGUGGUUAGGAAGUGAAGGGACCUAAAGUGAAAUAUCCGAAAAGCAAAAGUGAGGAGGAGAUAGAAAAAGAGAUUGAAAAGGAAGGACGCAUUCGCGAAGACCCUAAGGUAACAUUCACUCCUUCACCCCCUAUUAAAUCUAACUUAUCUCUUUUUCCUUACAGGUUGGAAAAGACAAAGAAGGUAGAGAAGGAAAAAGAACUUUUGGAUGUGUUCAGAAAAGUGGAGAUCAAUAUCCCCUUGUUAGAUGCAAUCAAGUAGAUAUCGAAGCACGCCAAAUUUUUAAAAAAUUUGUGCACCCACAAAAGAAAACUAAGGGGUGAAAAAAGAGUGACGGUGGGAGAAAAUGUGUUGGCUAUAUUUCAAAUGAAACUCUCUCCCAAGUGUGGAGACUCAGGUAUGUUCACCAUUACAUGUAAAAUAGGGGAUACCCCAAUUAGAAAAGCGAUGUUGGAUUUAGGAGCGUCAAUUAAUGUUAUACCCAAAACUAUUUAUGUCUCUGUAAAUCUUGAGCCAUUAAAAGGCACAAGUAUUAUAGUCCAACUGACGGACCGUACCAAUGUUUAUGCAGAGGGGUGAGUUAAAGAUGUUUUGAUCAAAUUUUUAUAUUCUAGAUAUAGGGGAUGAAAGGUCAUUAAAUCCGUCACUUAUGUUGCUAGGUAGGUCAUUUUUAAACACUGCUAGGACAAAAAUAGAUGUGAAUGAGGGUAUUUUACCAAUAGAGUUUGAUGGUGAAAUUGUAAAUUUUAAUAUUUUUGAUGCGAUGAAAUACCCGGAGGAGGCUAACUCUGUUUUUGCUUUAAGUGUUAUUGAGUUUCUUGUACAGGAAACAUUUGAAUUGGAUGGGAAAGAUGCAGUGGAAGUGGCUUUGAUCAAACAUCUUGAGUUGGGAGUAACUCUUGAUGCAGAAAUAAGUGAUGAGUUGUACGUUGCGGUUGAAACUCUGUAUUCACUCCCGCCAAUUUCUCCGAGGUAUGAGUUUACUUCCCUCUUUGCACUAGAAACUCAGACGAAAUUGUUGCCUUCUAUUGUGUAGGCACCUGAGUUGGAGCUUAAACCUCUCCCAAAACACUUGAAGUAUGCAUUUCUUGGGGACAAGGAAACACUAUCGGUCAUCAUUUCUGCACACCUGUCACCGAAGUAAGAAGAUAACCUGAUUCAUUUUCUUCGAGAUUAUAAUGAGGCAAUUGGAUGGAGCAUAACAGACAUUAAAGGAAUCAGUUCGUCCUUAUGCAUGCACUGGAUACGGCUUGAGAAAAAUGCAAAGCCGGUAAGACAGGUGCAACGAAAAUUAAACCCACUGAUGAUGGAGGUAGUAAAGAAGGAGAUACUCAAACUCCUGGAAGUAGGAAUCAUCUUCGCCAUCUCAGACAGCCCGUGUGUAAAUCCCGUUCAAGUAGUUCAGAAAAAGGCGAAAGUGACUGUUAAAGAGAAUCAGGAGGACGAGAUGGUCCCAGUAAGGAAACCCACAGGAUGGCGCCAGUGCAUCGACUACCAGUGACUGAAUGCCGUGACGAAAGAGGAUCACUUCCCUCUUCCGUUUGUUGAUCAGAUGAUAGAAAGAUUGGCUGGUCGUAAUUAUUAUUAUUUUCUUGAUAAUUUUUCAGGGUACUUCUAGAUCGCGAUAGCAUCGGAGGAUCAGAAGAAAACUACAUUCACCUACCCAUUUGGUACAUUUACCUACUAGAGGAUGUCUUUCGGCCUCUGCAAUGCUCCGAUGACUUUUCAAAGGUGCAUGGUAAGUAUCUUUUUCGAAUAUGUAGAAAAGAUUAUUGAGAUGUUUAUGGAUGAUUUUAGUGUAUAUGGGGAUAGUUUUGAGAAAUGCCUUAAUAAUUUAGUUUUAAUUUUGAAACGGUGCAUAGAGACAAAUUUAGUUCUUAAUUGAAAAAAAUGUCACUUCGUGGGGGAGUAUGAUAUUGUUUUAGGAUAUGUAGUUUCGGUUAGGGAAAUAGAAGUAGAUAAAGCAAAAGUCGACCUUAUUUCUGCUCUACCUUACUCCGUGAGUGUACGAAAAGUGCGUUCCUUUUUAGGUCAUGCAGGGUUCUAUGGGAGAUUCAUCAAAAACUUUUCAAAGAUUGGAGCCCCCUUAUUCAAAUUGUUGCAAAAGGACAUAACAUUUGACUUCACCAAUGAGUGCAAAGUAGCCUUUGAUAAAUUGAAUGGGUCAUUGACAUCACCGCCUGUCAUUCAACCCCCAGACUGGAGUCUCCCAUUCGAAAUAAUAUGUGACGCGAGUGACUAUGCAGUGGGAGUAGAAAAGAGAAGAUGAUUUUAUUAAGGUUCGGCAGGGAACUUUGAGUAUAGUUGAGUAUGAAACCCAAUUUACGAAUUUGUCUAAAUUUGCUCCUGAACUGCUAGCUACAGAGCAAAGAAGAGUUCGGAGGUUUGUGCAAGGGCUCAAUGUGGAGAUACAAGAGGCCUUAGCGGUGGCCCAAAUUAAUACAUUUACAGAGGUCUUGGAGAAGGCCCAACGAAUAGAAAUUGUUAGGGCACAAGUGAGAGUUUUUCAUGCAAAAAGGAUAGGUGUGCCUGGUGGAAGUCAAGGGCAAGAACAAGGUGAUUUAGACAUGUCUCCCUCUAAGAUGGGUCGAGGAGAUGGUGGUGAGAAAAUUUCAGGGACAUCUAAGGAAAUUACUCCAGGAGGAGCCUCGCGUGGCCGGGAGCAAGUAAGAGGUGCCUCACAAGAAGGUUAAACUCGAGUAUCUUGUGGGUACUGUGGGAAGGCCAAUUAUACGGAGAAUGAUUGUUGGCGAAAGGCAGGAAAAUAUUUAUGGUGUGGUAGUGCCGAGCACCAGCUUGUAACUUGUCCCCGUAGGUCACACCUAAAUCCUGAACAAGCAAAUGUAGGAGGGAAUAAGCCAAGAGUGCCAGCUAGAGUGUACGCCUUGGACCAACAGGCAUUGCCUGAACCAUCGGAGAUAGUAGAAGGUAGAAUGGAUAUACUAUUGUUGUUUAGUCUCAAAGAGAAUAUUACGGUUUCUUUAUUUUAUUGUUUUGUUUUACAGACUAGAAACCCUAAAUUCUAGAAAUAAAGUCUAAUCAAAACCCUAGUUUCAUUUGUGACUGACCAUUUUCUCAAAUUUCUCAUAUUUCAACCGAAACCCUAAUUUUAAUCACUGGAAUUGUAAAACCCCUCACGUUUUCUCGAAAAUGUACUUUUAAUUGAAAAUUAUGAUUUUAUAAUAACCCUACCACCCAAUCACCUCACAAUAAGUGCAAAUGAACAUGAAAGUAAAGGGUUUCACUUUUCAUUUUCAAGUUGGAGCGAGUUAGAUUUUUCACGUUUUUCCGUCGUGUAAUUAUCCGGUAUGGAGCGAGGAUCAAAUUUGGUGUUUAAGAGUGACUUUGGGUGAGAAAUAAUAUGUGAUUAGAAAAAAUGAUAAAAAGUUAGUGAAUAGGAAAUAAAAACCCUAGUACGUGUGAUUUAAGAAAAAACGGUGUGAACCGACGUGUACCGUGCACUACCGAUUGGACACACCGCUUGACCACCACUUUCUUACCAUAUAAGCUCAUUAAUAUUUGAGCAAAAUAUCUCCUUAUUUUCAGCUAAUUUUGACCGAAAUUUAGGGCUAAAAAUGCAAGGAAAGAAAAAGAAAUUUUUGUUGGAUUUGGUGGUGACAAGUGUCACACCCCUAUGGCUCCUUGACCAAGCCAAGUCCAACCUUCUUAUCAUUUUGUUGGCUUCAUUUUCACUGCAUUUUUCUGCUAGUUGGCCGAGACAAGAGAGGGGGAAAGAGAGAGCAAGAGUUUCACCAUUUCAUCUUGAUUUGCACCAUCCAAGUGAGGAACCAAAAUUCUAAACCGAUUAAAGUUUGAGUUGUGAAUUUGGGAAGCUAAGGGAACCAAAAAUUCCAAGAGGAGGUGAAGUAUUACUCUUGCAAACUUCUUUUGUUGAGGUAUAAGGUCUAACCCAUAACUUUGGUUCUUUUAUUUUUGAUUAAGAUGUUAUAUAAUUCAUGUUUUGGUUAGAUUAGUUGUGACACAAGUUGUUGUGAUGAUUUUUAAGGUAAUAUAUGUAAGUUAGGGUUUGAUGAUUUCUGCCUAUAUUUGCUAUAUGGAUGAUAUAUGUUGUAUCCAAUUUUAUAUAAGUAAUUGUGGUAGUGAUUGAAGCAAGAAAUGAAGAAAGUUUCCUUUGAAAAUGAAAAAUUUCAGAUUUCUGGAAAAUUUGACUUCAGUUCUGUCCGAUUCUAGUUCGUGAUGUUAGAGGCCGAUUUAAGCUUAGCAUAAAACAUGAAAGUUGUAGAGAAUGAUAUUUUAUAAAUGCCUACAAAUUUUCAACUCAAUCGGAGCAACGUAGCCUGUGAAAAGAUCAAAAUAUCCUCGCUGUCCUAGGAUGUUUCCAGUGAUCUGUUUUAGACAGUUCAUCUAGUUGACUGUGUCUAAUCACUAUGAUCCGUGCUGUUUUAGCCAUUGGCCAAAACAUCAAAGUUUUAGUAUUCUGUCUUACUUUUCAACGCCUCUAAGAACGCCUUAAACGGAUUUUAGUAGCCUGAGAUAUGACCAUUUAAAUGUAGUACGGUUAACUAGCCGGUUAGUUGGAAGUUGGUUCUGUGAAUUGGGAAUUUGACUGGGUUACACUGGAAAUUUGACUAAGUGAUCUUCAUGAAAGUUGUAGGCCUUCGACUUAGUUUCGAAACGGUAUAAGUUGCAGUCCAAUCCGAUAAGUGUAGUCUCGGAUGUGUCCAUUCCGUAAAAAUCCGUCAAAUCUAUCUUUUGUUAAAUUUCAUUUCCGCACUUGUUAUUAGUUUGAUUUUUGUCCUUGUAUUGUCUUGAGUCUAUGGAACGGCUAUUGAAAUGAAUUUGUGUUGUGUAUAAACUUGGGUUUGUUUGAGGGAAAUAAUGAAGCCAUAAAUGGCUGGAAAUAGGAAAAUACAAAGGGCAUGCUACCCAAAUUUACGCUCGAGGACUAGAGAAAUACACUUGCGACUUGGGUAAAAUUGAUAAAUGAAUAUCACUUGAACCAUCUAGAACUUUUACUACUUUGGUUAUCGAGGGUUAUACGUUAGAAUCUAGCCGAACUUGUACCCUUGAGAAAUAAAAUAAUGAUUGCUCGGAGCAUGUUUUCCUUGUACUUUUGAUUCAAAUGGUAUUUUCAAAUAUAAAUGUUACAAAGUUAUACAGUUUGAAAAGCGAGUGAGUGUUUAACGAAUAUUCUCCAAGUGAAUUUCCAUUUCUUGAUUCUUAUUGAACGAAACGUCUAAGUUUCGAAUCUUAGUCAAUUUUUAAAGUUCUGAAACAAAGUUUUAUCGCAGAUUUGAACUCCGAACCCGGAGUAUAACCCAGACGUGAUUACUAGGGGCACUUCAUUUUGGUGAGUGCUUCCAAAUACUUGAUUGAACUGGACACUUGUUUCCAAUACUUGAUCAAUAUGAUUAAAUGAUAUAUGAUUGGUUUGAUCGGGUAAGAGUAUACUUUAUCGCACUUGCCCUUAUUUGAUAUAUACUUGUUUAUUGUUGAAAUUGAAUUGAUAUACUUGUUCAUAUUGUGCGCACUUCCUGAAAUUUCAGAAAUCCCGUGGCAAAUUACUCGAGUCGAGCCGGUAGGGGUUUGGUUGAUUGGGUAACAAACCCUGGGUCUCUUGAUUGUCGAGUGGAGUGAUAUCUUCUCGACUAAUCGGUAUACUCGAGUAUUAUCACUCGUGUUGCUUGAGGAUUUUGGGCCCAAUAGAGGGUUUGAAUGGUGGACGGAGAGUAGCGUAAGUGGUGCUCUAUUGGAUUGGUUCCUUUACUUGAAAGUUGACGGAGUGUCAACUAUUACGUGAUCAAGCUCCUGAUGAUGAAUGGAAGUUGGCUCUUGAAAGCCUUCCGUAUCCUUAUGCUUUGGAUUGAUUCUUGCUUAUUGGAUUAUUGUUUAUUCUGAAAAACUUUUACAGUCGCUCAUUUUGAGAUUGCUAUUUGAUGUGUUAUUGCUCACUUUUAUGAACUCUUCAUACUCGUUACUUUGUUAUAUCAAAAACUUGUACUUAUAAAUAAUGGUCAAUUUACUAUUCGAAAUCUCACUGGAUUUUUAGCUUAUACCACGCCAUUUAUUUUCCUUACAGGGGUACGAGCGAGGCGUGAGACGUGUACAGACUAGCGUAGUCUAGUUAUUUUGAAUUUUGUAAUUGUACUCGCACUAGUCACUCGAUUAGGAUUGAAUGUACUGAGAAUUUAACUCUUUUGAUGUAUUUGGGACUGUAUGGAUGAUUGGGAUAGAAAUGAAUGUAUUCAUAUGUUCCAAACUUGGGGACCGUUAUUUCAUUUAUUAUUGAAAUUGAACCUUAUUUUAAUUGAUGCGAGUGAGUGAGUCAUGACGAGAGUUGGGCAGGCGGUCCACCGAACCCUUUGGUUCGCCCUAGGAGGAGGUGUGGCCGUCACAGGUGGUAUCAGAGCUCCUAUUGAGCCCGUGCCGGGAGAGGGUUAUCGGACUGUGGGGAUUGACUUGUUAAGUGUGGAAUGAUUGUCUAUUAUUAGGGACCUUAGAUAUGUAUGUUGGGUAGGAAUCUCUAAUACGGGUGAUUUGCUCUUGAGCCUGGCCAGCUUGUGUGGUGAAUUAUCAUAUUUUCGGAUUCUUGUCCCCGAGUACCAAAGAGUGAUAUCUUUACGAUAAGUUGAGAUCUCGCGUAAUAUUAGGAUAAGUUUGAAUGGCGAAAGCAAAGCCACGGGGAAUGCGAAUAGUCUGGACUUGAAAUAUAUUGAAGAUAUUCAUGAGAUUUGGGAUCCUUAUUAUUCCCGUGUUUCGAGUUUUGAUUAAGUGUAGUGCCUGAGCAAUACCUAGGGUUAAUGUUCUAUAGGUUAUGUGACUUGUUUGCUAUGUAUAUAAAGAACCUGUUUAUUAUGCAUUUUAUUGCCUCUGUUUAUCCUUUUGAAAUGUGCUAUAUGAGCCAUACCUUACCUUGUUUACAUGUUUAUAGUUGGUUAAACCCAGGCUGUAGGGGGAGAUCAAGUGGCAACCGCAAUCCAACAAAUGAUUAACAUUUUGGCCCGUCUAGUGGAACAACAGGGUCAAACCCCUGUAAAUCAACCUAGGGACCCCGAUAUGGGGCAAGAUCGGGCUCUUGAGAGAUUCCAGAAGUUCUCUCCACCUAAGUUCUUGGGAGGACCAGACCCGGAGGGAGCCGAGAGAUGGCUAGAGGCCAUGAUCAAUAUCUUUGCCGCUUUGAACUAUACGGAGGAUAGACAAGUGCACUUUGCCGUUUUUCAAUUUGAAGGUCCGGUCAGGGCUUGGUGGAAUGUGGUUCAAGCUAAGUGGGAGAGAGAGGGGACCGCAUGGACGUAGGUGAAUUUCGUGCGAGAGUUUAACGAAAAAUACCUCCCACCUAUUGUUCAAGAGAAAAGAGAAGAUGAUUUUAUUAAGUUUCGACAGGGAACUUUGAGUAUAGCUGAGUAUGAAACCCAAUUUACGAAAUUGUCCAAAUUUGCUCCUGAACUGAUAGUUACGGAGCAAAGAAGAGUUCGGAGGUUUGUGCAAGGGCUCAAUGUGGAGAUACAAGAGGCCUUAGCAGCGGCCCAAAUUAAUACAUUUACAGAGGUCUUGGAGAAGGCCCAACGAAUAGAAAUUGCUAGGGCACAAGUGAGAGCUUUUCAUGCAAAAAGGAGAGGUGCGCCUGGUGGAAGUCAAGGGCAAGGACAAGGUGAUUUAGACAUGCCACCCUCUAAGAUGGAUCGAGAAGAUGAUGGUGAGAAAAUUUCAGGGACAUCUAAGAAAAUUACUCCAGGAGGAGCCUUGCGUGGCCGGGAGCAAGUAAGAGGUGCCUCACAAGGAGGUUAAACUCGAGUAUCUUGUGGGUACUGUGGGAAGGCCAAUCAUACGGAGAAUGAUUGUUGGCGAAAGGCAGGAAAAUAUUUAUGGUGUGAUAGUGCCGAGCACCAGCUUGCAACUUGUCCCCGUAGGUCACACCUAAACCCUUAACAAGCAAAUGUAGGAGGGACUAAGCCAAGAGUGCCAGUUAGAGUGUACGCCUUGGACUAACAGGCAUUACCUGAACCAUCGGAGAUAGUAGAAGGUACGAUUCGUGAUUUCUAUUGUUUAACUAAGUUUUGGCUAUAGUGAGACCUGAGAGCUAGAAAUGGAUAUACAAGAAAAUACCCUACGUUAUUUAGGAGCGCAUGGAUGAAUUCCGAGGACGAAAUUCUUUUAAGUAGGGGAGAUUGUGAUACCCCAACUUUUAGGAUACUAUUGUUGUUUAGCCUCAAAGAGAAUAUUACGGUUUCUUUAUUUUAUUGUUUUGUUUUACAGACUAGAAACCCUAAAUUCUAGAAAUAAAGUCUAAUCAAAACCCUAGUUUCAUUUGUAACUGACCAUUUUCUCAAAUUUCUCAUAUUUCAACCGAAACCCUAAUUUUAAUCACUGGAAUUGUAAAACCCCUCACGUUUUCUCGAAAAUGUACUUUUAAUUGAAAAUUAUGAUUUUAUAAUAACCCUACCACCCAAUCACCUCACAAUAAGUGCAAAUGAACAUGAAAGUAAAGGGUUUCACUUUUCGUUUUCAAGUUGGAGCGAGUUAGGUUUUUCACUUUUUUCCGUCGUGUAAUUAUCCGGUACGGAGCGAGGAUCAAAUUUGGUGUUUAAGAGUGACUUUGGGUGAGAAAUAAUAUGUGAUUAGAAGAAAUGAUAAAAAGUUAGUGAAUAGGAAGUAAAAACCCUAGUACGUGUGAUUUAAGGAAAAACGGUGCGAACCGACGUGUACCGUGCACUACCGAUUGAACACACCGCUUGACCACCACUUUCUUACCAUAUAAGUUCAUUAAUAUUUGAGCAAAAUAUCUCCUUAUUUCCAGCUGGUUUUGACCGAAAUUUAGGACUAAAAAUGCAAGGAAAGAAAAAGAAAUUUUUGUUGGAUUUGGUGGUGACAAGUGUCACACCCCUAUGGCUCCUUGACCAAGCCAAGUCCAACCUUCUUAUCAUUUUGUUGGCUUCAUUUUCACUGCAUUUUUCUGCUAGUUGGCCGAGACAAGAGAGGGGGAAAGAGAGAGCAAGAGUUUCACCAUUUCAUCUUGAUUUGCACCAUCCAAGUGAGGAACUAAAAUUCUAAACCGAUUAAAGUUUGAGUUGUGAACUUGGGAAGCUAAGGGAACCAAAAAUUUCAAGAGGAGGUGAAGUAUUACUCUUGCAAGCUUCUUUUGUUGAGGUAUAAGGUCUAACCCAUAACUUUGGUUCUUUUAUUUUUGAUUAAGAUGUUAUAUAAUUCAUGUUUUGGUUAGAUUGGUUGUGAUACAAGUUGUUGUGAUGAUUUUUAAGGUGAUAUAUGUAAGUUAGGGUUUGAUGAUUUCUGCCUAUACUUACUAUAUGGAUGAUAUAUGUUGUAUCCAAGUUUAUAUAAGUGAUUGUGGUAGUGAUUAAAGCAAGAAAUGAAGAAAGUUUCCUUUGAAAAUGAAAAAUUUCAUAUUUCUGGAAAAUUUGACUUCAGUUCUGUCCGGUUCUAGUUCGUGAUGUUAGAGGCCGAUUUAGGCUUAGCAUAAAACAUGAAAGUUGUAGAGAAUGAUAUUUUAUAAAUGUCUACAAAAUUUCAGCUCAAUCUAAGUAACGUAGCCUAUGAAAAGACUAAAAUACCCUCGCUGCCCUAGGAUGUUUCCAGUGAUCUGUUUUAGACAGUUCAUCUAGUUGACUGUGUCUAAUCACUAUGAUCCGUGCUGUUUUAGCCAUUGGCCAAAAUAUCAAAGUUUUUGUACUCUGUCUUAAUUUUCAACACCUCUAAGAACGCCUUAAACGUACUUGGUAGCCUGAAAUAUGACAAUUUAAAUGUAGUACGGUUAACUAGCCGGUUAGUUGGAAGUUGGUUCUGUAAAUUGGGAAUUUGACUGGAUUACACUGAAAAUUUGACUAAGUGAUCUUCAUGAAAGUUGUAGGCCUUCGUCUUAGCUUCGAAACGGUGGAAGUUGUAACCCAAUCCGAUAAGUGUAGUCUCGGAUGUGUCCAUUCCGCAAAAACCCAUCAAAUCUAUCUUUUGUUAAAUUUCAUUUCCGCACUUGUUAUUAGUUUGAUUUUUGUCCUUGUAUUGUCUUGAGUCUAUGGAACGGCUAUUGAAAUGAAUUUGUGUUGUGUAUAAACUUGGUUUUGUUUGAGGGAAAUAAUGAAGCCAUAAAUGACUGGAAAUAGAAAAAUACAAAGGGCAUGCUGCCCAAAUUUACGCUCGAGAACUAGAGAAAUACACUUGCGACUUAGGUAAAAUUGAUAAAUGAAUAUCACUUGAACCAUCUAGAACUUUUACUACUUUGGUUAUCGAGGGUUAUACGUUAGAAUCUAGCCGAACUUGUACCCUUGAGAAAUAAACUAAUGAUUGCUCGAAACAUGUUUUCCUUGUACUUUCGACUCAAAUGGCAUUUCCAAGUAUAAAACAUUUUGAAUUUUGAAAACAGCUUUAUAGUUGAAGCUAUGAACAAAACUGGCAGUAUGGCCCUUUUCUGGAACAAUGAUGUGAAGAUCUCUGAAGUACUAGAAACUGCUUUCACUAUUGAGGCAAAAGUGGAAGAUGAGGAGAAGAAGGAAAGCUGGUGGUUCAUUGGAAUUUAUGCCAGUUGUGAUAGUCAUAUAAGAAGGGGGCAGUGGGAAGUAAUAAACAGAAGGAAAGCAGGUUGGGGGGCAAAAUGGAUUAUCAUGGGAGACUUCAAUGAUAUUACCUCAAAUGAAGAAAAAUGGGUGGUAGGAUGAGGGAUAAUAGAAGCUUUCAUGAUUUUAGGAAAUUAAUUAAUGAUAACCAGCUGUUAGAUGUGGGUUAUGAAGGGAAGCCAUGGACAUGGAGCAACAACUGGUAUGGGAGUGGGGAAGUUAAAGAAAGAAUAGAUAGGGGUUUAUGCACUGUAGAAUGGUCACAAUGUUAUGAUGAAGCCUACUGCACACACAUCGAAUCCCAUGCUUUAGAUCAUACCAUGUUGAUACUGGAAACUCAAAAGGAAAGGAAGAAAAGGAAAAAAAGAUUCUAGUUUGAUAAAAGGUGGCUCCAACAAGAUGAGAUAGAGGAAGUGGUCCAGAAGGCAUGGAAUAUUCCCUGUGAUGGAACAAAAUGGUUUAAGGUGAAGGAAAAGAUCAAAAAUUGCAAAAUUGAGUUAUUAAAGUGGAGCAGCUGUAAGAAAGGAAAUUCUCUUGAAAAGAUUAAAUGGUGCAAAAACCAGAUUGAGGACAUCAAGGCAUCAUCAGCUGAGAAUAAAAAACAGCAAGUACAGGAAAUGAAAAGAUAAUUGAAAGUGGCAUAUAAUGAGGAAGAAGCUUACUGGAACCAGAAAUCUAGACUGAGGUGGCUGAAGGAGGGGGAUAAAAAUACUCAGUUUUUCCAUGCAACAGUUAAGGGAAGGAGAAAAAGAAAUAGAAUGCAGAAACUGAGAAAGGCGUGUGGUGAAUGGACAGCAAAUAAAGAUGAGUUGGGUAAAGAAGUAGCUAAUUACUAUGAUGAGUUGUUUAAAUCCACAGCAGCUGGGGAGCUUGAGGAGAUCUUAGAUGGGAUUCCUGCUACUAUAACUGAACAAAUGAACAAGGAAUUGACUAAAAAAGUGGAUGAAAAUGAAAUAAAGAAUGCAUUCUUCUCUAUGGAUCCUCAUAAGGCUCCUGGGAGUGAUGGUAUGCCUCCCCUCUUUUUUCAAAAAUUCUGGAGUCUUAUUAAGAAGGACCUGGUAAAUGCAAUCCAAGGUUUCUUCCAUCAUGGUGUCAUUCUUAAAGUCAUAAAUCAUACUGUUAUCUCUUUGAUCCCAAAAGUUGAAUGUCCCACAGGGAUUAGUCAGUAUAGGCCUAUUAGUCUUUGCCAAGUGGUCUAUAAAGCUCUAGCAAAAAUCCUUGUUAACAGGCUAAAGCCUUUUCUUAGUAGGUGUAUCGGCAAAAGUCAAUAUGCAUUCGUUCCAGGUAGGCAAAUCUUAGAUAAUGUCAUACUGUCUCAUGAGUUGAUGCAUUUUCUCAAAAAUAAAAGGCAUGGUAGAGUGGGAUCUAUGGCUGUGAAACUGGAUAUGUCAAAGGCCUACGACAGGGUGGGAUGGAGAUUCUUAAAGGCAAUAAUGGAGAAAAUGGGAUUCUGCUCCACUUGGAUAAGCUGGAUCAUUUCAUGCAUCAGUUCAGUUACUUAUUCAUUCAACAUUAAUGGAGAACACAAGGAGUUUGUUACCCCUUCAAGAGGUAUCAGGCAAGGAGAUCCACUAUCUCCCUACUUGUUUUUGUUAUGUUCAGAAGGGCCAUCAAAUUUACUUCAGAAAGCUAAGUUGGGAAAGGAGUUAAUUGGAGUUAAAAUCAGCAGAAAGGCGCCUGCCAUUACCCAUUUGUUCUUUGCUGAUGACUCCUUGGUGUUCUGUAAUGCUAACAAACAAGAAGCUGAGAAGCUGACCAAGAUACUCAAAGUGUAUGAAGAGGCAACAGGGCAGCUUAUCAACAUGGAAAAGUCAUCAGUAUUCUUUAGUAAAAAUACAAUGCCAGCUGUGAGGAGUGAAGUCUGUCAGGAGUUGGGGCCAAUUAAACAUGUAAAGCAAGGCAAAUACCUUGGACUUCCCAUGAUUAUAACAAAAUCCAAAAGCCAGGUAUUUGGAUUUAUAAGGAACUCUAUAGAUAAGAAAUUGCAAGGAUGGAAAAAUAAAUUACUAAGCCAGGCAGGGAAAGAGAUCAUGCUCAAAGUUGUUGCUAUGGCCAUGCCUACCUACACAAUGUCAUGCUUCAGAUUACACUCAAAGUUGUGCAGAGAAAUGAGCUCGAAAAUGGCAGACUACUAGUGGGGUGACACUGAUGGGAAGAAAAAGAUACACUGGAUAAGUUGGAAGAAGAUGACAGAGAAGAGAAGCAAGGGGGGAUGGGUUUUAAGGAUUUGCAGUUGUUUAACAAAGCUCUACUGGCUAAACAAGUUUGGAAGCUGAUCACGCAACCAAACUUGUUAGUCAGUAAAGUUUUAAAAGAGAAGUACUACCCCAAGCAAUCAAUUUUCAAUUGCAAGGUGCCUCAGAAUGCAUCUUGGAUCUGGCAGAGUUUAUCAGGGGUUAGAAAGGAAAUGCAAGAAGGAAUUAGGAGGAAAAUUGACAAUAGGAAAGGAACUAGAAUUUGGGAUGAUAAUUGGAUCCCAGAUAGACCAUAGAGGAAACCAACAUUUAUUAAACCUCAGGGAUGUCAACUGGAACUUGUAUUUGAACUGAUCAAGAACGAUAGAUGGAAUAGAGUGCUUGUCUUCAAAACAUUUAAUGCCUAAGAUGCUGAGAGAAUCCUGAGCAUACCAAUAAGUAUGACAGGAAUAGAGGACAGCUUCUAUUGGAUGGAUUCUCAAAAUGGAAAAUACACGGUCCAAUUUGGAUACAAGGCUUGGAUGAAGAAAAAAGAAAUGGAGAGGUUAAGAAGGAGGGAGGAAGCCGGAACAAGCUAUGAAGAAACCACUCCUAAGACUUGGAACUCACUGUGGCAGGAAAAUGUAAGUUAGAAACUGAAGGUGUUCGUUUGGAAAUGCCUGCAUGGUGGACUCCCAAUCAGAGAGGCAAUCUAUACUAGAACAAGACAAGGGAACCCCAUAUGUGCUGGAUGUGGAGAAAAGGAAGAAACAAUUGAACACAUGCUACUCCAAUGCAACAAGGGAAGGAAAUCUGGAAAAUGGCACCAGUGCAGUGGGAUGGAAUAGAAUAUCUGUCAGACUGCUUUAACAAAUAGUGGUCAGCAAUUCAGGAAACUCAAGAUAGAAGAGGAGUGGAGGACCAGGUCAAUCUCACCAUCAAUAUACUCUGGCAGAUAUGGAAAGCUAGGAAUGACAGAGAGUUUAACCAUAAGGAGAAGGAGCCUUUUAAGAUAAUAGAGAAGGCUCUAAGGGAAUGGACAGAAUUUGAUUAAGUUAACAAAGGAAAGGAUUCAAGAAAGAGCACUCAAGAAACAGAACUACAGCAAAGGACUGAUCACGAUCAAAAUGAGAGUCACUCUGGACUGACUUUAAAGAUCCACACUCAUCAGGAUAAAGGACAAGCAGCAAUGGGAAUUGGAAUCUCAGCUACAGACAACUUGGGAAGAAUGCAAGUAGCCUGGGCACUUAGAGAAUGUUCAUCAGGCGACAUAUUACAAGACCAAACUAUUGCAGUUACAUUAGCUCUACUGAAAGUUGGAAGCCAAGGCUGGAGGAACAUCAAAGUGGAACUGGACAACCGUAAGCUGGUAGAAGCCAUACAGGAAUCAAGGUACAACAAUCAGCUGAUGGCUACCUUAAUAGAGGACAUUAGAUCCAUUUGUACUUUGUUUCAUCAGUGCUCUAUCUUUUUUGCCAAUUCUAGGAAAUUAGAAUGUAUUAAGUUGAGCAUUCAUGCUCUAAACAUCUGGUUAGAUAAAGAAUGGGUGAAUCCCAAUCUUAGAUGCUAGGCAUCAGUGAAUCUUGAAGGACAGUUUCUCCCUUUUGAUUGGACCUUUGUCCAAAUAUUGUAAAGAUUACGGUAAUAUAUAUAUAUAUAAAGCUAACGUUUCGACCAAAAAAAAUACUUGAUUUUGCAUCCUCGAUCAUUCCCUUAUCAUCCACAAUAAAUAAAAUUGUAAAUAUCUACAUAGGAUCCAUAUAAAAGUAUAAUAUAGACAUCUAUUCAUUUAAGCAUCUUGAUGUGAAAAGGAUCACAAUUAAGCUCUUAAAAAAUAAUAAAAUAAAAAAUUGGAAAAAAAGAGUUUCACGCGAUUCUAGCGCACUUCCCACAUGCAUUGCACAUGCAUCGUUGCUACCUAUACUCUAAUGUCCCUCUCGACUGUGAAUUAUUUUUUAUUAGUAGACAAUAUCUUUUGUGUUUUUUUUUCUUUUCCUUUCCAAAAUUCCAUUUAAGUUAAGAGUUUGAUCCUCUUACCUAUGUGCUUAGGUAGGGAAAGAUAUAAGGGGUGCAAGUUGCAACUUCAAUUAGGUCAUUCUUUCAAGAAGAAGGCUCCAUUGUUAUCCUUUCCCUUUUUUUUUAAUGGCCUGCCAUCUCUUUCCAUACCCUUUCUAUCCUUAACUGUUAGGUACUAUGUAUUUGAAUUAUGAAUUUGACAAUAGGGAAAAUUCUAACAGUUUUCCUUUGACCACUGGAUCUAAGUUCUUCAUACACAUAGAUCAUCUUGUGUGCUUUACGUGAAGCAAUAUCAAGUCUAAUAGAGUUACCGUUCCUCUAAGCUUGUUCUACUAAAUUUCUCCACGCUUGAAUUGUCUGCUUUCGAGCAGACUAAGCCAGCCAUAGAUGGUUAACCUUGACAGGUCAGUGGGGUGUCACUAACAUUUUUUAUCUUCUUUUAGAUCUAAUUGAUUAUGAUGAUUUGGUGAUACUAUUAAACCUAAGUUAAUUACCUAUCAUUAAGCUACUACAAUUCCUCAAAAUCUAUUUACUAUAAGAUCUAGGUGCAUUCUUUAAUUACUUGGUAUAGAUGUUGUUGCAACAAAAAUACAUACUCGGGCAAAAGUUUUUUUUUCAUAAAUUAAUACAUAGCAUGAGGAAUCACAUGACACUCAAUUAUAAUUGCUUUUUAGAUUACUUAUGCCCAAAAAAGAUGAAUAUUUUUGGGGCUCAAAGUGUUAAUUCUUGUGUUAUAAACAACAAAACAAAUGUGGUUUAGACUGUAGUAUAUCAUUAGUUCCACUGAAUUUAAGGAUCAAACAAAUAAUGGAAUCAUACCCUAGGCACAUGCCUCAACAACUCAAGUUUAUAUAGUGCCAGUUUAUACCAAGUAAGUACUACACUUUAUCAUAUCACUCUUGAUAGAGUGAGAUUAUUUUGUAUUAUAUUUGUAGUGUAGUUUUCCUCUGCUAUUAGUGUGGAUAUCUCUCUUUGUGGAGUUGAGUUUACUACUAAAUUAAAGGCAUGAAACAAGUAGAAGGCGAAUUAAUAUUCGAACUGGUGCAACUUGUUGAAUUGGAAACUUUUGCACAAUUUGCCUCUAAUCUCAAUAAAGCUACUCAGAAUCAAUUAGCAAGAGGUCAAGAUAGUAUAAUUAUUAUUAUUCUUUAGUCAACAUUAAUGUUCACCUUUUAAAAAGAUAAGGGAUAAUUUCAGAAACCUCCCUUGAGGUUUUUGACAAUUUCACUCACCUCCCUUCAGGUUUGAAUAAUUACACUAACCUCCUUUCAUGUAGUAAAAUGACUAUAAUAUCCUUCACUUAUAAAUAAUUCCUACAAACAAAAAAACUCUACAAUCACAACUAGUCUUUUAUUCUAAAACAACUGUUGCCACACAAACUAAACUCUUGUUCUAUCUUUCCGACUCUUUCUCCUACCUUCUUUCUCUUACAUCUCUUUUUUCACAAAUAGACACACUCUCGCUUUUUUGUUUUCUUUUUUUUUAUAAGUAUUAUUGAAUUGAAAUUACAAAAUAACAAGUUAUCGGAUCAUAUUUGUUGUCAAGGUGAAAAAGAUGGCGGUGAUACAGAGUACAUAUAAGAAAAUAAAAAUGAUAGCUAAAUAGGAAAUGUGGAUUAAAGAAGGUUACGAUAUUAUAUCAAUUGUGUAAAAAAAGAAUUUUGAGAUAUAAAACUAUAAUCAGAUUUGCCUAGAGACAUGGGAUGUGGUCUCUAGUGUUACUUUUGGUUACUCUGUGUUGGUAUUCUUGGUAAGAUACAUUAUUUUAGUAACAACAAGUUUAAAUAGUGACAUUGGUCAAUUCAAACAUUGAAUUAGGCAAAAAAAAAUGAGACUAAAUAUUAGGUUGAAUGCAUACUUUAAUUGUCACAGUUGAUCUGCAUGAGAAGCUUUGGGGCAACAAUAGUAGGCUGUCAAAAUUGUAAGAAUAUGGGAAUUAAGGUGAAAUGGUUUAUUGAGUUUGUUAGGGUGAUGGUUAUGUCGUUUACAAUAGUUGUAAUGUAAAAGAAAUUUAUUAGUUUGUUUUUCCCCCUUCUAAGUAACAAAGGGGUGUUUUAGAAUUUUUGAAGAGAAAGUUAGCAUAUUGGGUCUAUAUUGUUACUGAAAUGUUUAUCAUAGGGGAGGUAGGUGUAAUUUUUUAAAUUAGAAGGGAGCUUCCUACAAUAGUCAGAAAUCUCAGGGGAGGUUUCUGAAAUUAUCCCAAAAGAUAAAGAUGGUAGUCAUUCAUUUGUAAACUCUCUUAACACUUUUGCUUCAAUUAUUAAUUACAAUUUUUGAAGCGAAACUGAAAAAUGUAUGUUUUUUUGGUCAUAUGUAAUUGUUCGCACGAAUUUCUUGGUAGGGUUAUUUUAUUUAAACCGAGGUGCCAAGAUUUUGGGGUUUUUGAGGGUUUAAACCGAGGCUUGAUGGCCUCCAGUGGCUAAGGCAUCAGCCCUGCUGGAGCGGAAAAAGAAGGAAAAAGAAGAAGAAGAAGAAGAGAAGGAAAAAAAAAGAAAGGAAGGAAAAGAAAAAAUGAACGGGCUAAUGUUUUAUUUUUUGGUGGGCCAAUUUCUUUAUUUUCGGUUGGGCUAGAGGUUUCCUUUUCUAGGUUUUAUCCGGGCUUUUGGGUAAUUUUUUAAUUUGGGCUUGUAUCUCUUUUAAUGAAGAUAGCCUGCAUUUUUUUUUGGGCUGAAGGCGUCCAGGCUAAGAAAUUAAAAAUAAAUGGCCCAGAAACUUUCUUCUUGCCCAAAUCAGAAACCGAAAUUUUCAUUUUAGCCCCUGAUCUUUGGAAUAGUUUUAUUGUGGCCCAAAAAAUUUUAAAUUUCUUUCAUUUAGGCCCUUAAUUUAAUUAUAAUUUGGUCUCUAAACUUUAUCUUUAUUUAAUGUUGACCCCUAAAAUUUUGGAAAAUUAUAUUUUUUGACCACAAAAUUUUCUAAUUUUUUCAAUUUAAGUCCCUUGUGAAUUUUUGACUCUCUUUAUUACAAUUAUUUCUCUUCUUUAAUAGCUAAUUAUGUUACUUUUGAAUGUAUUCAACUUGUAAUUUUUAGAGGUCCUUAAGUUUCUUUAUAUUUGAUAUAUUAAUAUGAAUUUAGUACUUUUAUUAUUAUUAUUAUUAUUUUCAAUUAAAUUGGUGCCAUGAUUUUUUUGUUCAUUUUGAGUAUAAAUAGGACAAUUUGGCUCCAUUUAGUCACUACUUCAAAAGAAAGGUACCCCUAUUAUUAUUUCAAUGUCAAUUAUGUGCUUUUAUAUGCUCCUACGUGUUUAUACGUUUUUACAUGCUUUGUUAUUUAUUUAAUUCAAAUGUUUAUUUAAAUUUUCUUAUGUUUGUUUAGUUAAUUUUAUAAUUAUUUGGGAGGUGUUUAAAUACCUCAAGAUGUAAUAGAUAGGUAAUAUUUUGUAAAAAAAAAUUGUAAUUAGAUAAACUAUUGUAAUAUAUAGAAUAGAUAUGUUUAUUUUCUUAUAUUUUCCCAUUUUAGAUUGUAGUCAGACUCCCCGCUGUAAUAGAUAGGUUUUGCAUGUUUACGUGUUUAUGUGGUUUAUGUGUUAUGUGUUUUAUCCGCUUUCCUUAGGAUUUUUACAUUUAGAUAUUAUGUUUUAUGUGUUACGUGUUAUGUGCUCUUAUAUGUUUAUUUGUUUUAAUUUAUGCCUUAUUCGUUUUAUUAUGUAUUAUUAAUGCAUGACGUCACCACACUAGUCUAACGCUAGUUGUGGCUUCUCUCUCCGCCUACUUGCUAGUCCAAUUCUAGUAAGCUCUUUUAGAAAUGGGUUAUCCAAUGUUAGACCCUUAGAUCAUUCACGCAUUAGAUUUAUUUUUUGUGUGACAUUCAUUACAUUUUCAUGUAUUUUUUGUUUUAGAAUAUUUUCUCAUUUGCAUGGUAUUGUCUAUUAUAUUAUCCCCUACCCUAUAUAUGUAUUCAUCAUAUCAUUUAGGAUUACAUCUCAUUUAAGAAAUUGUAAAAUAAGUUAGUUCAUUUGCUUAUUUAGAUUAAAAAAAUUUAUCUUUUGAAUAUGAAAAAUGGGCGAUUAUAACUUUUUAAUUUAAAUACCCCGUUAAUCCCUACACAAGAAAAUUAUGGCAUGAGUUUUUGCUUCCCAUACCCAUUAUAUUGCACUCCUUAUUCCUUGAUCACUUAUAUUUAUAUAUAUAAUUUAAUUUUCUUUUCUUUUGAAUUUCACUUUUCAAUACUCGUGAUCUUUUCAAGGGAUUAUUUUUGGUCUUCGCAAUUAAUGUGAUCGAUAUCAAUUAAACCAUUGAAUGGACAUUUUGUCCCUUUCGAUACUUUUUAUAAAUGUAGACUUGCAUCCAUGUAGAAAACAUCCAAACGUGACAAAUUUAAGGGUUAGAUUAGAGAAAUUCUAGCUAAAUCACAUAACUAGCUUAUAUUAGGUGGAAAGGGUACCUUAGAUUUGAGCUGAUCAUACCUUUGUCUUCCGUUUCUUCAAUCGUGACUCCCGAGUUCAUUUUUCUCUUGUUUUCGAAGAUCUGGAGUUGUUGAAAAGGGUUUUAUUUAUUUAUUUAUUUUUAUCAAAAAAUAUUUUUUUUGGUGAUUUGGUACACUCAAACUCAAUAUCAAAUGGCGACUCCUAUUUUUCUUAAAAACCCUUUUAGACUAAAUUUUAGGUCCAAACUGUCACAUUUUUUAAAGUCCUAUUUUAGGCCUUUUUCACUUAUUUUAAAAUAAAAAUCACAUCUUUUGUAAACAUGCUUUUCAUCGCGAAAAAUGGGGCGCGACAGUCAAUUCUAAAAAAUCUAAAAUUGUGUUUAAUUUGGCUUCUUUAUUCACUGUUUUGAGUUCACAUGAGCUUUAUCAAAUUGAGCUCGAUUGAAUUUUUCACAUACAAAUUUGUCACUUAAAUUAUUGAGAAAAUAUUUAAUCAAAUCAUUAGAAAUAUUAUAUGUGGUUAUUUAGGCCACACAAAAUAUAUAUUCUAACAUGAUGUCGUCAAUCAAGCUUAUAGUUGGACAAUAAGAUACGUGAGAAUUUAUUCUUUGUUAAUCAUCCAAUCCGUACUUCCAUUGCUCCACUCCACUGGACAAAGCCCCCUGUGGGCUUCCUAAAGGCAAACUUCGAUGGCGUAGUUUUCUCCGAAUAUGGCUACUCUGGUGUUGGAGUUGUUGUGAGGGACGAGCGGGGCAAUUUUGUUGCAGGAACUUCUCACAAAAUCUCUGGUAUCUUUUCCCCUGAGGUCAUCGAAGCCUAUGCUGCGAGAACUGCAAUUUCCUUACUGCUUCAAUGGAAAGUGCCCAACAUUAUUUUGGAGGGAGACUCUUUGAAGAUCGUCAACAUGCUUAAGCUUAUGGAGUCUGAUGACUCGGCCUAUGGGGUGCUGUUAGAUGAUAUCUUUGUUAGGUUAUAGAACUUCGCCGCUUGGGAGGCUAAUUGGGUCCCUAGGAAGGCCAAUGUGCCAGCACAUUUAUUAGCUAGAAAUGCUAGCUCUAUUUCAGAUAUCUGUAGUUGGAGUUAUUCUCCACCACCUUUUCUUCUCUCCGCAAUUUCGGCGGACCUAUCCUCACCUUAAUAAAAUUUUCUAGUUUGCUAUCAAAAAAAAAAGUUUCUUUUUAUUCAUCCAUUACAAUGGAUAGCUUCUAGAUAUGCUGGAUUAUGCAAGCUAAUGUUCCACAGUCAGGAGCAGCUGUUUCAAAGCCAUUUCUUGGGUUGCCCUUCGGAAACUAACAACACCAGCACAAUCCAUAAGGUCCGCUAAAUUUGUUUCAUGUUCUCAUUUUUCGCUUCAGGAGGACAAAAAUAACAACCACAUCCUGAUUCUCAGGGUUAAAGAGAGAGGAAGACUCUGCAAGUUUCUGCGUAAACAGUUCAAACAAUUCAUCCAUGAUAUCACUUCCAAAUUGUUUCUCUAGAAGUCCCUCUAAUGCAACUCUGAGGUGCAAAGCAAUUGCACAAGGGUUGGAGAGAAACUCAUGCUUUCCUGGAAUGCUUAAUAUCUCCAUUCUCUGAACAUUUAGAUGUUCAUUUGCCUUCAUCAGGGUCUUUAUCUCAUUAAGAAAUGGGAAAUAUAGUGGCAAGUUGAACAUAUCCACUUUCAAUUCAUCAACCAGUCCCUGCAAUAAGUGCAUUUUAGUAAUUAAAGUACUUUUUUUUAGCCAAAACCUGCAGUCGAAAUUCGAAGAUAAACUAUGACCAAAACUCAUACAAUAUAUGGAAAUUAGAGAAAAUGUAAAAUAAAAAAUUCCAACUCAUGGAUUUGCAACUGCUAUUUGUAAGCUCAAGACAUGUUUCAGAAAUUAUGGAGCUUAGUUAAUAGCUUAUUCAUGACCAAGGAGGUAUUCCAUUCAUUCUCUACUCUACCAUUGGUAUAUUAUGCCUGAUUUCGUUGAUUUCCUAUAUCUGUUUUGUUUCAUCCUGGAUAUUGAUAUAAAUCAGAGGAAAUAUUGGAAAAAGACAUUGGUGCCCUGCUUGUGAUGCUUUUGGGCCUGCAUUUGUUAUCUUAUAUUCUUUUCUGUUCUAUCCAUGGUUGUUUUUUUUUUUUGUCGAAACGAUAGGAUAAUUUCAUUAUAGUAAGGGAAAAAAUUUACAAAUGCGAGCAACGGCUCGAGAGAACUUUACAAAAAGUGUUCAACGACACUGAGGAACAUUCCUUUCCUCAUCCACAAUAAUGCCUAAAGCAUCAACACUUAAUUUUCUACUAUCUAUCAUAUUUUCUUCCCUACUCAAACAAAAGGAGCACAUGCAAAACAGUCUUUUCACAUUCACAAUAUCCUCCAGCAAUGUAGCCAUUCUGCUCCCCAAUGGCUGUGUUUUUGUUAGUUGUUUCAACAGCUCCUUGUUAGCAAAAUUGAGCCUGAUUCUACUCCACCGAUAUUGCGCAGCUUUGCAUAAGACUAGCUUUAAUGCUAGUGCAUCAUCUAGGCUUUGGUUCCCCAGGCUUCUUUCUUUUAGCUUCCAUUCUGCAGUUUUGGUGCCUGAGGUUGUUCUAACUGUGACUCCAAUGCCUAGAUUGUUUUGUCCUUUCCUUGUAGCUGUUGACAGGUCCAUGAUCAUAGCUCCCUGAGCUUCAUUGCCUUGGCUUUGUUGAUCAUGCAUGUGGGCUAUUUCUUCUGUACUCGUUCUAUCUUUUGAUUUCUCUACUUCCACUUGCUCCAGCCACUCUCUAUGUGCUUUUUCUACUGUUCUCAGUGGUGAUGAUCUAGUUGAGCUCUCAAACUCCUUCUUAUUCCUAUCUUUCCAUAUUUGCCACAGAAUAUUUGCUGUCAAGCCAAUAUGUUCCUUCCCUUCUGGUCUUACCUUUGCUUCUGAGAUUCUAAGCCACCAUCUUCUGAAGUCACCCUGCUGGUCCUGAGCCCUGUCCCAGUGAAUAGGUGAUGCCUUCCAGAUGUCCACCGUGUGGGGGCAUGUUAGCAAUAGAUGUUCAAUUGUUUCCUGUGCCUCUCCACAGGUUCUACAUAUUGGAUCUCCUAUUCUUGUUCUUCUACUCACGGCUUCUCUCACUGGUAAAGCUCCUUGUAUACAUUUCCAAAUGAAGAGCUUGGUUUUGUGCUUAAUGUUGAGCUGCCAGAGUGUGUUCCACAUCUAUGACACAUGCUGGCUCCUCUCUAUAUAACUCGAACCAGCUACCUCUGAGAUACUUUUCCUUGCUUUCUUGUUGUUCUUCAUUUGGAUUUUGUAACUUGAGUUGACCGUAUACUUCCCUCCUGCCUGUGGUUGCCAGUAAUAGCUGUCUUCCCUCCCUGACAGACUUAGGGGGAUACUUAGGAUCCUCUCAGCAUCAUCUCUGUUGAAGACUCUAAAUAUGGUGUUCUUGUUCCAUCUGUUGUGGCAAAUGAGCUCAUCCACUCUUUCCAAAUCGCAAUUGUUUGGUUUAACUGCACUUGGCAUUCCUGAUAUUGUCUCUGGUAUCCAUUUAUGCUCCCAGAUUCGUGUAUUCCUUCCAUUGCCAAUUCGCCUAAUCAGUCCCCUGUCCAGCAAACUUCUUGGUCCCAUUAAGCCUUGCCAAAUCAUGGAGGCAUUUUUGGGGGGAUUGCAAUGUAGUAUGGAUUCCUUAGGGAAGUAUUUAGCUUUUAGCACCUUGCUCACAAGAAGGUUUGGCUUGGUGAGGAUUCUCCAUAUCUGCUUCCCUAACAGUGCUUUAUUGAAAGCUUCAAGGUCCUUGAAACCAAGUCCUCCCUCAUUUCUCUUUCGUGCCAUUCUUUCCCAAGAAGUCCAGUGCAUUUUGUUCCUACCACUUGUUUCUCCCCACCAGAAGUUGGCCAUUAGAGCACUGAUAUCUUUGCAAAGUUUUCUUGGUAGCUUGAAACAUGACAUGACAUCCGUUGGCAUGGCCAUAGCUACUGACUUUAGCAUUACCUCUUUCCCUGCUGAGCUGAGGAACUUGCUUUUCCAGUUUUGAAGUCUUCUUUUGAUGUUUUCUCGUACAAAGCCAAAUAUCUGGUCUUUGGUUCUUGAAAUCACCAUCGGGAGGCCUAAAUAUUUUCCUUGCUUUGCCUCAUUCAUCCCUCUCAAUGCUUGGCGCACUUCCUCCCUUUGAUCACUGAUCAUGUUUCUGCUGAAAAAAACAGCAGAUUUGUCUAGAUUGAUCAGUUGACCUGAUGCAGCUUCAUAGAUUUUAAGAACAUUCAUAAUCUCAGUAGCUUGCUGCUUGUCAGCUUUGCAAAAGAUGAGGGAGUCAUCAGCGAAGAAAAGAUGGGUAAGUACAGGUCCUUGCCUACUGAUUUUCAGUUCCUGAAUUCUAUUACUAUCUUCAGCUUUCCUCAACAAAUUGGAGAGUCCUUCAGAGUAGAUUAAGAAUAAAUAAGGAGACAAAGGGUCUCCCUGUUGUAUGCCUCUCCCUGGAGUCACAAAACCUUUGGCUUCUCCAUUGCAAUUGAAGGAGUAAGUUACAGUCUUCAAACAGCUAUUGAUCCAAUUGAUCCAUACCGGACAAAAACCCAUCUUUUCCAUCAUAGCCUGCAAAAAGUGCCACUCUACCCUAUCAUAUGCUUUUGCCAUGUCUAAUUUGAUUGCCAUGUAUCCAUAGUUCCCUUGUCUUUUGUUUUUGAGGUAAUGCAUAUAUUCAUGUGCAAUCAUCACAUUGUCAAGGAUCUGUCUAUCUGGGAUGAAGGCAAAUUGGGUUUUGCUUAUGCAUUUAUCCAAGAUAGAUUUCAGUCGAUUAGUAAGGAUUUUAGAAAUGAUUUUGUAGAGUACACUACAAAGACUGAUAGGCCUAUAGUUCUUCAAACUGGUUUGGUGCAAGAUUUUAGGGAUCAGGGAUAUGACAGUAUGAUUUACUGAUUUAAGCAUGUAUCCGGAGGUAAAGAAGGCUUUGAUUGCUGGGAUAACAUCACAUUUGAUGGUGCUCCAGAACCUUUGGAAGAACAAUGGGGUCAUCCCAUCUUGACCUGGGGCUUUUUCAGAGCUCAUAGAAAAGAGUGCUUCAUGAAUUUCCUUCUCCUCCACAGCUUUAGUCAGCCUUUCAUUCAUUUCCUGGGUUAUGGAUUGAGGAAUACCAUCUAGAACUUCUGACAUAUCACCCCUCCUCCCACUGUUAAACAACUCCUUAAAAAAUUCUGAGAUUUCUGCCACAAUCUCCUCCUCAUUUGUUGUCCAUGAACCAUUCUCUCUCUGCAAGGUCCUGAUUCUGUUACUCACUCUUCUGCCUUUUACAUAGGAGUGGAAGUACUUAGUAUUCUUAUCACCCUCCCUAAGCCAACUGAUCCUAACUUUUUGACACCAGAAAUUUUCUUCCUCCUUAUAAGCUGCUUUCAAUUGGUCUUUUAUGUGAGUUAGGAUUUCUUUCCUAUUGUCAAAACUCGAUUCCUUAACUCUCUGAAAAUCCUUUUUCAGAUCAGUAAUUCUUUGCCUAGAGUUUGCUUGGAAAGUAUUCCUCCACUUCAAAAGCUCAAUUUUGCAAUUUUUAACCUUCUUAGUGAUUUUGAACAUUCUAGAUCCUUGUUCUUCCUUACUCCAAGCUUUUUCUAUCACCUGCUGGAUCCCCUCCCUUUGGAGCCAUCUUUUAUCAAAACAGAAUCUCUUCUUUCUCCUUUCUUUCCUCGGGUCAGACGCAAAGGUGUCUAUAUGCUGAUAUCUAGCCUUUUCAAAAACUUGGAACCAUUCCAUAUUACACAAACAUCUGUCCAACCUUUGUCUAACCUCUCCUUCAUUAUCCCAAUGGUUGCUCCAAGUCCAAGGUUGUCCCUCAAACCCAAUAUCUAUUAAGCUAUUCUGAUCUAUGAAGUCUCUAAAGUCCUUGAAACUUCUCUCCUGCCUUAGAACUCCUCCCCACUUUUCAUCAUUGGACAGAAUGUCAUUAAAGUCCCCAGUAAUUAUGUAUCUAGUUCCCCACAAAUUUCUCCUAUUACUUAGGACCCUCCAUUGUUCUUUUCUGAUCAUAGGGUCACAGCUAACAUAUAUCCCAAUAAACCACCAGCUAACCUGAGUAUCAGGGUCUUCUAACUUAGCUUCUAUCGUGAAAGCAGAUUUAUACACCUCCAAGAUGUUUGCAUCCUGACUCCACAGCAAAGCCGUACCACAUGCUUUGUUCAUAGCUUCAACAGUCACAUUACCAUCACAUCUUAAACCUCUAGUCAGUCUGUCUAUCACAUGCUUCCUAUUCUUUGUCUCACUCAAGAAAACCAGGUUUGGAGAGGAGAGGUUAUAUACCUCCCUCAGAUGGGGAACUGUCAAGGGGCUCCCCACACCUUGACAGUUCCACACCAAAACUCUCAUGUUCCUUGAGGGGUCCCUUUCAGGCAGGUCCCCCUAACCUCUCCCUUUAUCUCAGCAGAAUAGAAUUCUAUCAUAGGUUUAGUCUUUUUCCACUGGAUUAUCUCAGAAUUAGCUUCCUCCAUCUCUUCAUCCCUCAGCAAGACUUUUCUCUUUCCAAAAUUCGACUGACUUGCUCCAUUUUCAUUUAACUCUUUCAAAGGUCUCCUAUUACUGGUUGGGGACUUCAGUCUUAUGAACGUCCUCUUAGCUUGUUUGUCCUUAGCCUCCUGUACCUUUCCAGUCACCAUUGAUUCCUGGUGGAUCACUAGCGCUCCUACAGAUUUCUCAUUGUCCACUAGUCCUUGAUUUUGAUUCUGCAUCUCUAUCUCUCUAUCCUCCUCCCUCACUUCCACUGCCAUAGGGGAUUGAUUUUCUUCCUCAAACUGGAUCACUAGUGGGAGAUCAGGACCUCUCGUUUCUAGGUUCAUGAUGUCUUCACUACAGUCUUGGGUUCCUCCCUUAUUUUCCUUUACUAUUGGUGAGGCUCCCCUACCCUAUUUUUCCUUCGCCUUCUCCCUUUCCUCCCUCCCUUUCUGCGAGCUAUGGUCUUCCUUACCAGACGACAGCAGAGAUUCUAAAAGACUUUGAUUCAAAGGACUCCUAUUUCUAUUUUGUUCAAUCAAUUCUCCUUCCUGGAAUCUCCAAUAUCUUUUGUCACUCGAACCUUCAUUCCUAGUAGGUUGUUUCUGAGGUGAGCUCCUAGUAUUUCCAGCUCUCAACCAGGGCCCGUACUGGUGGCCUCCCAUGCUUCCCCUUACCACUCUCUUAUCCUUACAAGACCUCUCACUGUGUCCUACUAACCCACAACUAUAGCAAAAAUCAGGACACCUCUCAUACUUAAAAGCUAUCCACUUCAGAGCUCCUGCAAUCCUAACCACAGUACCCCUGAGCAGGGGUUUAGACAGGUCAACUAAAGCUAAAAUUUUCAAGUGCCUGCCCACUUUCCCUCCAUUCUGAGGGAUUAGCACCUCUCUUACUUCUUUGAAAACAACCCCUAUCUUGUUUCCUACCUCUUUAGACAGCCAGUGAACUGGCAAAUUCCAGAGUUGCACCCAAAGGGGCGCAGUCAUAAAGGCCCUGUAAUCCUCUUCUAUCCCUUCCUUCCACCUAUUUAAGACUAACAGUUGAUUAUCCAUGACCCAAGGACCACCCUCAAUAAUUCUUUCCUUAUCAACUAGGCUAGGGAUGUUGAACUGAAAAAUAUUUGGGCCAAGUUCCAUCACUGUCAUAUUCCUAGGGUAUCCCCAAGCAGCAGUUACGAAAUUUUUUACCCCUGUAAAGUUGACAACUUUCUCACCUAUAACUCUUCCUAUCAGGCUUUCAUCGCAGGCUCUAACUUCUUGAUGGAGAUCUCCAAAUUCUAACAUGGCUCCAAGGAGCUCAUUCCUCUCCAGAGAGAAUUUUUUUAAGAGCUCAGCUAGGUCUUCUUCCAUCGAUAAUGUCAGAUACUUCAGGAUAGUAUUCCACUACACACCCAGGAGGAAAACCAGAAUGUAGGAGGAUUGGAACAGAAAUAUUAAACAAUAAAAAACAAGGAAAGUUUUCUGGUGUUUAGGUGCAUCUACUAACAGAAAAUGAUGAAAAAAAAGAUGAAAAAAGAUGAGGAUGGCACAUAAAUAGAGUUCUCUGGUCGCAAUACCUCUAAACAUCAGACAGAGGAAGUAAAGACUAGGGAUGUAAUCGAGCCAAGUCAAACUCGAAUAUUGCUAUACUCGAGCUCGACUCGACUCAUAUAUGCCUAGGCUUGAACUUGGCUCGAGCUCGAUCGAGUCCAAAAAAUCGAUACUCGAAACUUGACUCGAGGAAUUUCCUUUAGGCUCGAGACUCGACUCGAUAAGGCUCGACCUUUAGUCAAGCCUUAUCAAGUCGAGUCUAAUCAAGCUUUUUGACUCGACUUGACCAAAAAAUGAGAUCAAAGGUGACGUUUUGGGAAGAUUCAAAGGCAAGCAAGUAGCUAUCAGUUGGAGUAAAUGAGGCAUAAAAUCCAUGAUUCAUCGAUACAAAUACAACCAAAAGUAUCCACAUUCUACCUCCCACAGUUAGCAUCUUUAACACCCCUAAAAAUCAGAUUCACCACAAAGAAAAAUAGAGAAGAAAAAAGGGAAAUUCCCACCUGCUGGAUUGCUUGACAUGAAACUUUCAAAUUCAGCAAUUACCCACCAACGGUAGGUGCCCACAAGAGUAGCAAAAAAUGGAUGAUUCUAAUUCCUCGGACCAUAGUUCCUAAGUGUGCUGCGAAAGUACCCAAACUAACCAAAAUUCCUCACAAAAUUCCAAAACUCAGCAAAACAUGAGCUGAGCCACCAAAUUGAGAGACAAACAAUUAUCUCAAACAGCCACAAUAUCCCAACUACCACAAGCUCAAUUCAAGAAACCAAUGCCAAGAUCUAUCCAGAAAUUCCUUUUCCCCACAAAUAUCACUAAUUACUAACUAAAGAAAGCUGCUUUAAACAAGAACAUGUCAGAAAAAUAUAUUCCUGGUUCAGAAAUGGACCAUAGUCCAGCAGAAUUACAAGUGUUUGAACAAGAUAUAGAAGAAUGAAGUUGAAAACUCUUGUCACUAACCUGACCCAGCAAAGAUGACCUCAAUACCACCAUUAAAAUGAAAUCCCAGAGGCUGGAGCCUUUUAUAGCAAAUUGCAACAGCUCUUUCCAGGCUGUUGAUUAGGUUGUCAUUUUACACAGAGGAAAGAGCAAAAGAACUGGACCCACAAGCAAAACCUCUGAACCUUAUACCACACACGACACACUCAAAAAACAAGUUUUCUAGAUAUUUAUCCUACACAUUAGCAUGUCAUUAGCCAGCGGCCAGCCUGCUCACAUUAGCAUGUCACAAUAGCCAGCGGCCAGCUUGCUCACACAAUAGUCAUACAUUCGGCAAAUGAAAGAAAAAGGCUUCAAAAUAUAAACAUACUCCACAAUACAUAAUAAGUUACAUCUCAUAAAUUAACAAGGUCCAAAUUAUGAGCUAAUCUAGAUUUAGAAACAUAAAUCUUCAAAGCUUUGGCAAGUCGAAUUCUUUGAUUGUCUUGGCUUCCUACAAAAAGCAUAGAGGUAAAAACACAAAAAAAGUUACAUAACUUCCCAAAAGAAUAAAUUAACUUAUACUUAAUAACUCAAAUAUAGAAGUUUGGUAGUAAAACAAUAAAGCUGACCUAUUAGCAAGCAAAGUACACUAUCUUCAUGAAUGGCAGAAUAUUGUUAAAAAAAAAAUCAUGAACAAUUGGUGAUAUCAUUUCUAAAUUGAGGUUGUAUAAUAUGCAUUUACGGUAAGUUUAGCAAGAAUAGUAAAGCAUUGUAAUUUUUCUUAAAUAAUAAUUAUACCAUAUCAUGCUCUGUUUUAUUCCAUUUUAUGUAGUGUCCUGGAGAGAAACAAACUAUUUAAGCAGCUAAGUACUGCUAUGGAAGCAUGGACGUAUGCCCGACUUUGUCACAGGGAAAUAUGUCUACGCUAAACACUGAGGCCCCAUGAGCAUGACAGAACCAGUGGUGAGAAAGCAUCUUUUUGAUUAAGAAUAAUUAACACUAACGCUGGUUUUACUACGGCCAGAAUACCAAGUUUUGAAGAAAAUGACACAAAUCUAACGCAACCUUUGGUGGAUAAACAGUCAAUAAACCCCUAUUUAGAGAACAGUUCAAAAAUGAUUUUUACAGCACCGAGGCACAAUCCAAGAAAGUUCGACAAAGCAAAUCAUCAAGCAAAGGAUACCAGAAGAGUUGCGGCGAAAAUUUCCAAGACACCAACUUUAACAAACUCAGAGUAACCAAAUGCGGUAAUCAAUCAUACUACAUUAGAGCAGAGGCAGACAUACCAGUAACCAGAUGCGAUGGCGAUGGCGAUGGCGAUGGCGAUGGAGUCUCACAGAUGCGGCGAGCAACGGCGUCGGCGACGAACGAGAGACUGAGAGUAACGGAGUGAGGGUUUAGAUCUAAAUCAGUCAGAGUCAGUGGUUGGUAAAGUGAAUUUUUCGGCGAGGCUUUCUUCGAACAGAGAAGAAAGUUGAACAGAGAAGAAAGUCUUUUCUUCCUUUUUUUUAGACAUUUUUUCUUUUUAGGUCUUUUUACAAUUAUGUUAUUACUUUUUUGCCAUUAUGGGAUUUUAUUAUAAAGAAGGGUAUAUUGUAAAUUCCAUAUAACUUAGACCCAUAACGGUCAUUUUAUAAUUAUAAUACAUAUAUAUUAUUUAAAUUAUAAAUAUAUUAUUUAAAUAACCCCGACUCGUCGAGCUACUCGACGAGCCUCGAGCCGAGAAAUUUUGGCUCGAAACUCGACUCGAUUGUCAUUCGAGCUACUCGAAACUCGGCUCGAACUCGGUCAAACCGAGUUCGAGCCAAGCCGUUAACCAAGCUAUUCGCGAGCUACAUCUCUAGUAAAGACACACAGAAUCUCAUUAUACCUGUCAGACGCAUUCCAAAGGGUAGUUCCUUCUGGCGCUUGGACUUCUGCUUUCCAUGCAACCUUCAUCGAUUGUGUUUGCUGCAUUAAUUAGCCUUUGAUUCCAGACAAGAAUUGGAAAUGGAGAUGUUACAGAAAAGUGCGGGAGUGUUGGAGUUUGAAAAUGUUUGAUUUUGCUGCCUUUCCCACCAACGGGGAAGGUAGCUCUUAUCCCAAGAGAGAGCACCUCAAUUUAGAGUAAGAAACACCUCUACAUAGAAAGAGGACUUUUUGGCUACGUUAGUCUAUCCAUGGUUGUUACAACUAGUAAAUUUGACAUAUGAAGCUCACUUCCAUCCAAUACUUUGUACCUUUUUUUCAGCGAAAUAAGUACAUAAGUUUAGAGGGUAAGGACAUAAUAUCAAAAUAAUAUUUUACCUUUGCAAAUAGGAAUGUCAAAUGAGCGAAACUAUGCUACACUCGACUUGAGGUUGAACUAGUCAAAGCUAAUUUGCGCUUAGUUCUCCAAUUAAUCAAACCAAAUAUGAACAAUAUUUAGUAUCCAAAAAAAUUUCAAAUCUGAAAUCGAGCUUGGCUGACUUAACAUAGUAUAUGAAAUUUAUAUGUGAAAAAUUUAAUUGAGUUUGACUUGAUAAAAUCUCAUCUAAAUUCAGCGCAAUAAAUAGAUAAAUUAAAUUUAAAUACAAUUUUAAACUCUUUAGAAUAGAUAGACAAGUUUGACAACUUGAGUGCUUGGCUCAAUUAGCUUCACUCAUAACCUUAUUUGCAAGUAAAAGUUCUGAAAUUUUUUGUGGGGCAAAUAUAAAAUGUCAACAAUAUUUCCACAGAAUACCAGAUUCUCAAUUCUCAAGCUUGGGGAGAAGGGCAAUUUCUUAAGGCAAAAUUAUAAUACAAAUAAACUUUUUAAAAUUCAUAAGAGGGCAAAUGAAUUUUUUAAAAUUCUUGAGGGGUGGCUGCCCCUCCCUGCAAAGAUCCGAUCCAACAAAACUCCUGUCCCGCAGGUUCAUAGAAGUGUUAAAAAAGAAUUCCAAAUGUCAUUUGAAUUCAAAAAUGAAUAAUUUAACUAUCUAAAACUAUUUAGGAUAUAUUAGAUGAUAAUUCGAAUUUAAUAUUAUUCAAGUGACAAUGAAAAUCAAAAUUCUAUGUUGCAUCCCUGCAUUGAGAUGUAUUCGCAUAGAGUUCUUAGUUGAAGAUCUGAAACUAAUGAAAUCUAACCUUCUUAGCCAAGUCCAUGAGACAAGAUCCUAGAACUUCAAAUCCUGUCUCUGUGACGAUAGUUGUCUGAGAUUCACGGAUGGCAUCAGGGACAGUAGGAAUAACAAGGGCCAUCAACCGUCCAUCGACGAGCUCGUGUGCCCUUGCAUUCAGAAAUGACUCCAGGUCCUUGGCAAAUUGAGAUGCAUAAACCUCAAGAAGUUCCUUUUUGGCCCCUCCGUGGUGAAUCUUUCCUUUGUUCCAUGCAGGGGACGUGUUGUCUGUAACCUCUUUUGGCACAUCUGAAAGCCACUGAAGCGCGCAAGAUGAGUGAGCAAAAUGGAGGGAUGCCUUUGGGAGCAAAACCUUGUGGAAGUCACCUGGCACUCCAGCUGCAAGGUAGUGUCUCUCUGGUGGAAGUGAAGCAAAAAGUGUGUUGAAAUCAUUAGAUAUAUGGUCAUUAAAAAAGACUUGAAACUCGGACUUCAGAUGCUAGUCCCUCUUUUCUGAGUUUUUCCUCCAGGGCUUCUCUUAUCACUUUCGUGGCCACAAAUGUAUUUGGUCCUGUAGAACAGCCAAAAUCUGCUAUGCGAAAUGGAUGCACAGAGGUUGAAGAAAGUUGCUUGACAUCAAGUUCUUUGUCAAUCUCUUCUUUGAUAAGUUCUUUUGCAACGUCUACUGCUCCUCUCUGCCACAAAAAAAAAAAAGAAAAUAAAUAAAAUCUUUACGCAAGUCUUAUAUACCUUAGACAUUUAUAAUGAGGUAAUUGCAGUUUAAACUAGCAACCUGAUAGGAUGAGUUUUGGGCAUAGCUUUGAGGUCCAUUUCCUCCAUUCAUGGCAUAUGCUUGAGGCAUUUUUUCUAUCUAUAUCUCUUCUCUUGCCAUGUCUUGAUACCUCUGCCUAGAUGGUUUAAUUUAUACUAGGCAGAGGCUUAGGCUUAAGUGUUGUCUUUUAGCCCUUUACACGACGGGCAUUUCUACUAAUAAAUGGCCAUCCGAAUACAUAACAGGAUUGACAUAUGCAAAACAAACAAGAAACCAAAGCAGAUUUGUAUCUAUCCCCCAACAACCCCAUGAAAAUCGGGUCAAAUUAUUUUUCUAAAUGAUAUUUUAGUUUUCAAUCGCUGCAUUGCUUUUAUUUUUUUUUAAUUUUUUAUUGAAGAUAUCACAUGCAUACAGCAUAUACCCUGCAGGCCAUAAUUCUAUAUUUGUUGUCCAAUGACUAGGGUUGAAAGACGAAUUAAACUACUCGAAACUCGAAUCGACCUUAACUUCAUUCGAGUUUAGUUAAUUAACUAAUAAAAUUGAGGUUGAGCAGCGUUUUGUAUUUGAUAAAUUUUCAAAUUUGACUCGAGCUUCGCUUCCUUUCACUGUGAAUUUGCCAAAUUACUAUGAAUUAAUUUCCUUUUUAAAUUACUCAUCCAAUAUGACUCGAGCUUGGCUUUCCUUUCAAAAUUUUUACUUUUACCCAUGCUUUUUCUUUCCUGUUGGUUUUCUUUUGUGCCAUGAUGUAAAGAAAUAAAGAACACAACUGCAAAUGAUAAGUAUAUUUAGAACUAGUCAUUGGACAUAACAUGGAUUUUUUUUACCUUCUCUUUUUGAUAAAACAACAUCAUAAUUUCAAUAAAAUAUGUAUUAAUGGCAGAAGUUACAUAAUCAAAUAUACAGAGAUAUCAAAGAACAGAUCUGAAGAAUAGAUAAAAAUUACACUAUAAAGCUCUAAAUUUUAAAAAAAUGAGAUAAAAUAAUUGUGGCUCCACAAACAUCUGUGCAUGCUUUCAAGCUUCCAAUCUGUUAAUUAACUGUUUCAAGUUCCAAUAUUAUGGUGAGAUCUAUCAAAUAUAUAUAAGAAAUUCCAGAUCUAACAAAACUUAAAAAACUCAAAUCUAAUAAAAGAAAAAUGAAAAAAAUUACAUAAAACUCUCACCAAGAAUCCCUAGGAGAGAAGAAAACUCACUAGAAAGUCUAAGAAAAAGAAAACUCUCCCUUAACAACCCUAUGAGAGAAGAAACUCUCAUUAGUAAACCUUAGAAGAGAUUCUAUUCGCACAAAUGAAAAAAAUUAUAGAGGGGGCUUCUCCCAUGGGAAAGAUUAGAAAAAUCUGAUCUCUCUCCCAAGGAAGUUUUGAUUGGAGAGUUUUGCAUAGAGAUGUCAAAGAAAAUCAACUUUUCUAGAGAGGAACAAGUGCCAAACAUUUUGUUGUCAUUUUUUUCCUUCUCUUUAAUAUUUUUUCAAUUUUGAUUGUGCUAGCGUAAUUUGUUUCUUGACUGUGCUCUGGCUUUCAAAAUAUAAAUUUACUGAUAUUUGCACAUAUUAUAGUCCUUUUUUGAUAAAAAAACAGAAUUUGUCAACGAAUUAUCGAAAAUCAUCCAGUACGAUUUGAUUUACAUCCCUGUCCUAAUGGCAGGUUAAAUAUGUAUUAGAAAUAAUAGAUCAAAUCUACAAUUUAAUAAAUACAAUACAUUUAAAAAUUUUUGAAUAGAUCUAAAAGUUAUAACAAAAUUUCAAAUUAUAUUCUAACAAGAUAAAUUUGCAUCUCCCUGUGUUGCAAUCGCCAAAUCUACUAAUCAAUGGUUUUAAGUUCCAAUAAUGAUGAUAUGAUCUGAGAGAGACUCAAUAUCUAAAAAAUUCUAAAUCUAACAACUAGAUUUAAAAUAAAUUUGGAUCUAACAACAAAAGAAGAAAAGAAAAAAAAUUCUCAUUAUAAACCCCUAGGAGAAACAAAAAAAUUGCCCUCUGUGUCGUCAGUUUAUUAGCAAACCUUCCUUUGGAGGUACGAAUCAUCAAGUAGUCUAUAAUGAUCACCGGUAUUGGUUUAAAUUUCAUCCGGUUUUACAAAGCAACUAAAAAAUUAUAAUCUGUAAAACUCAUUUUAUUGUUUACGGCAGAUGGAAAUAUUAAACUUCACAUAAAUAACAAACCCCGACCAGUGUUGCACAUGUCCUAAUAAAAAAUGCAUAUAUGUACUACAAAGCAUAUUAAGUAUGCUAAAAUCUAAAAUUCAUUUACCAAGAAGAAUAUAUUCUAUGUUGAUUGAUGACUACUAAAUAAGAGAGCAUAGAGGAGGAAUUUUUUUUUUUUUUUUUUUUUAGAAGAGGAGAGGAGGAGCAUGUUCAAGUUGAAACCUGCAUGCAACACAAUCGUUCAGGGAUAGUCCUGAUGAUGACUGUCCCUAUCCCCAAGUACUAAAUAAAUCCUUUGUGAAGUUGGAGCACGUUCGAAAACUGUGGGGAAUCAAACUAUUGAAAUGAUUGAAAAAUCAAGAAGGGGAAAAUUCUUGCUAGGAAAAAAUGAAUGUAAUUAAAUAAUUGAUAAAAGAAGGGGAUUAAAUCCACACCCUUCCAUCCUAGAUCCACAUCACAAGCGCUAAUAAGACAUUAAUAUGUGUUAGAAAUAAUAGAUCGGAUCUACAAUUUAACAUAUACAAUAGAUCUAAAAUAUUUUGAACAGAUUUAAAAAAUAUAAGAAACUCUUAAGUUGUCUUCUAGCAAGAUAAAUCGUUGCAACUCUUUUGUGUGCAUGUUGCAAUUGCUAGAUUUGUCAAUCAACGUCUGCGGUGAUGGAGAAAAAGUGGGGGCAAUUGCCGCCAUUGACCCCUCCUAAAUCUCCAUAUUAAUUUAUAUAUAAAAUUAGAGUUUUGCCCCCACACUCAAAUGAAAUCGCCCCACUACUCUUCAACAAAAUUCAAGUAUUAGAGAAUUGCCCUCACUAAGUUGUCCGUAUCUGCAUAUAAAAUUGUAAGUUUGCCCCCACACUUGAACGAAAUUAACCUUACUACCCUUCAACAAAAUCUAAAAUAAUAAUGUACACUUUGUUUAUAUAUCUCUACAUCAAACAAUUUAACAACACUUAAAAUUAAUGCAGUAGAAGUAUAAAUGCGAUAUAUAAAGACUUGGAUAAAUAACCACUCAAAAAUAUAUUUGAUUAGAAUAUACCAAGUCGCGAGGCUCUAAUUGAUCACUCAAGAGGUGAAGGGAAAUCGUAUCACUUGGAAGGCAAAGAAACAAGGCACAGAUAUUUUGGAACAAUGCUUUAACAUAUACUAACUCAAAUUUUACAUGAGAUUGCUCAAUUGAGCAUUCAGCCAUAAGGCCAUAUAUACAGGAAAGAACCUAACAACUCCUUAUUAGAUUUUACUAUCAUAAACUCGUUCCAAUUGUAAUAUCAAAAAACAAUUUAACUUUGUUUCUUAAAUCAAUUUUGGCACCAAUUCUAAUCUAGUUACCAAAUAAUAAUAUAAUCCUAAAACUGCUAAAUUUCUAAAAAGGUUUGGUUUAAAAUAUGUCAACAACGGUCUUGUCUAAACAAAGAAAGAGACUCAAUUUACAUUUAUUCUUUUUUUUAUCUAUUUUAACAAAUCCAUUAGAAUUUUAAAAAACUUUUUUCACCACACAUUGGAACUGACAAACAUUGCUAAUUUUUUUAUUUCCUCUUAGAAAAAUCUAGAGAAAAUUUUUAGGGUUGUGAGAGGAAAAGUAGAAAAAUCCUUUAUUAGGAAAUUAGAGAUUUGUUUUGUUGUUAAAUUAUAGAUUAAUUAUAAACAUAACUUCUAGCAUAUAUUGUUAGUUAAAUAUAUUUUUAUAUUUUAAUUAGUAAUAUUUUAGAAAUUAACUUUACUCCAUUAAAUUUCUUUUCUAACUCUGCCCCGAACAUCGAUAAGCAGCAAUAAUGUUGAUGAGAUCUGUCAAAAGGGACCCAAGACCUAAAAAUUUCCAAAUCUGAAAUAAAUUUAGAUCUAACAAUAAAAGAAAAAGAAAAAAAUAGAAAAUUCUUACAAGAAACCCCAGAAGAAAUAGAAAAUUGUCCUUUGUGUUGUCUGUCUAUUAGCAAACCCUUCUUUGGAGGUACGACUCAUCAAGUAGUCUAUACUGAUCACUACUAUUUUUUUACAUUUAUAAAUUUUAAAUAUCCCACACGCGAUUUUUCACAAGUAUACGAGUCGUGAUUGAGUAUAGGGUAUUAAUGGUCGAACCCAAAGAAAAGAUUGUCAAUUACCGAUGAUUUUAGAAUUCUUUUAUUAUUUAGACUAUCAUAAAUGCACAAAAAUUAAAUCUACACUAUAAACAUGAGAUAAAAGUAAAAAUAACAAUAGAAAACUUCCAAAGAUAUGGAAUUCCUUACUACUCUUGCAAGUGAAUCGAAGUUACCGGUUAAGUGAAUGAUUUAUCUUGGCUAGUUAUGGAGUAAUUUUCUAAUUAUGUGAAACCUACUUUUGUGGUGAAUCAACUAUACUUGUAACUAAACCAUACCUAAUCUCGUGGUUAUGAAAUUAACUACAAGCUCUUUUUUUUUAUGAAAUUACAUGAAACAAGUCACUAAAGCCAUAAAGGUGCACCUCUACUCUCGUGAGUGUUUUCCCUAGGUUUAUCACUUCCUUGAACUAGUGUUAAAUUUCAAUUCUCAUUGCAAACUUAACACGUUACGAUUAUCACAAUUAAUGGUCGGUUAAUCAUGAUUAGAAAAGAAAAAGUGAUAGAUAACUUACUCAAUAUAUAUUUGAUAUAGAAAGUUCAUCUAUAACUCUAGGCAUAAACUUUAACUAAACAUGAAGAACAAGAUCCAAACUUGUAUUAUAACUAAACAUGAAAUCAAAUAAAAAAAGAAAGUGUUAGGAGAGAGGUCACCCUUAUCACAUGAGAUCCAUCUCUCCAUCUUUGCUCCUUAAUUCUUUAUCCAAAUCUAGCUACAAAUGCAAAAAGAAUAAACUACAUUAACUAUACUAAUCUACCCUAACUAAUGAACUAGGUAUACUCUAGUGAAGACUACAUUUUUGUGGAGUUUCUCUAGCCUUCCAAAGUUGUAAAAAUGUUCUUCAAGGCCUCUAUUUAUAGAAAGAUUCAAGCCACAAAUGAGUUGUUUCUAGUUGGCAAAAUUGGAUCUUAAAACUCUCAAAGGUUGCUUCUCAAAGUUUUCAUGCUCAUCUACUUAUUUCCAGCAGGAAUCUUUGUAGAAAAAGUGGUAAAAAAAGUUGUGUGAACAAAGCACAAGUUGCAAAGCAAGUUGUAGCCGAAAUUAGAGAAUACGCGAUCUACCCAUGUUUUGCUCUUUCGCAGGUUUGCUCAUCUCUGGUUGUUCUUCACCCUUACUCUGUUUUUUUGCCAACUUCUACUGAUAUUUUCUCAAUAAUGGCAGCUGAACUAGCUCUUGCACAAAACAUGAAAGUUGUAGCCCUUUGAGUUAGCUUUCCAAUGCAUUAAAAACCAUCCAAUUUGAAUCUCUGUAGACUGAUAAAUUAUUAAAACACCCUCGAUUGAUCAGAGCUCUGUUUCAGCUUUCGAUAACAAAAUUGCAUUUCUGUAUUUCGAUAUUUUGACAAUGAAAAUGACUAAACUGGAUGUCGAUGUCUUCAUACCAAAUGUAGAUCUUUCUCUUAGUUUCAAAAUGGUAUAAGAAUCAACUCAAUCCAAUGCUUGUAGCUCAACAUAUAGUUGAAAUACCACAAAGUGUCAAAGCUGGAAAACUUCCUUAAUUGCAUUUCAUCUCUUGCACUUCAUAUUAUCUUAAAAACCACUUCAAAUCAUCAAAAAUCAUCCAAUUAUGUGCUCAACUCACUCCAUUUGAUGAUUAAAUCAUUGAAUCUAUAAAAACAUGAAGUUUUCACCAUUAAAAUCCAUAGAAAUACAAUUUUUACCACUUAAAUCAUAAAAUGCAUAUUUUCACUAGAAACUUAGUUCAUAAGCUAUAAAACUAAUUAAAACACAUAAAAAUAAUUAAUAAAACACAACCUGCAUGCAAUACGUACCGUGGUGCUAAAUAAAUCUUUUGUGAAGUAGGAGCACGUUCCAAAACCGUAGGGAAUCAAACUGUUGAAAUAAUUGAAAGAAAACUCAAGAAAAGAAAAUUCUUGCUGGGGAGAAAUCAAUGCAAUUAAAUAAUUGAUAAAAGGAAGGGGCUAAAUCCGCACCUUUCCAUCCUAGAUCUACAUCUUAAGUACUAAUAAGACGUUAGGGCUCUUAUAGUAUAAGUUAGUAACUUUUCUUUUGUAAAGUAUCAAUAAAUUACCUGCAUAAUACUAUCCUUUGAAUUAUUUCCUAACAAUUAUGCUGCAUAAAGCAUCUUCCUAAAAAUGUUCAUAGUAAGGUACAUUUUUUUCUCACAUGAAUUAACCACAAAAUUCUGAUCCUUAACACUCAGAAAAUACAAAAGGAUCAUCUAUUGAUACAUUAGACUAGCAGCACUACAUUGUCAUAUAAUAAUCGAAACCUCGCUGGGACAUUUCGUAAAUGUCAAAACAUUAGUUUUUAUGUUUUACAAUGAUCAUUCAUAGUUUGGCAAAAUCUAAUUGGUACAUAAUGAAAAGUCAAAUUUUUUAUAUUUUGCAUAUUUGGAUAGGCCAAAAAUAUCUAAAGAAAAUCUUGUGGGGAAAUUCACUGUCAUUAAAUAGCUUUUAUAUAUAAAAAGAUUAUAAAAUUGGAAUAUAUUUGAAAGGUAUUAGAAUGGAAUAAAUAGUUACAAGAAUAAUGCAAGGCAAAUUAUUUCUAUUCCGUAAAAGCAUAAAAUUUGAGUAAACCAAAAAAAAAAAAAGAAGUUGGAGUAAACAAAGUUAGAAGAAAAAACCUAUUAAAUGUUAAGGGCUUCAAUGUCACAUUGGUCCAUAGGAUGUUUAUUGAGGAUAUGAUGGGUGGAUUUAGCCCGUUCGUUGACAAAAAUAUCCUAAUAAAAUUAAAUGAUAUACUAUCAGUCCUGAUGAAGAACCUAUAUAUUAAUAACAUAAUUUACAUAUUUACAUGUUGCAUAUUCCACAUUUAUCCAUCCGAAUCGUAGUUAAGCUAGAAAUCCUGUAAUCAUGGGCAAACUAGUUAGAUCCAAAAGGAGAAACACUAAAGUCAGAAGCCCCCUUAGAACCUAAAAAAGUAAUAGAAUAGUGUAGACAAUGUAUAGGUGUAGUCAACAUGAUGAUGCUGGAUGGUUUCAUUGACUUCAUAACAAUGAAGACUAGGCACAUAUUUCCUUUCAUUACCCAAAAAAAAAAAAAAAGGAAGACUAGGUACAGUAUUAUUGGCUUCAGAUAUCCGAUUCUGCUACCACAGAAAAUCACGCAAUAGAAGAAAAAGAAAUACGUCCAAUUAGAAGUCGCUGAUUUGAGUUUUGCUCUAUAAAAUAGGAUUGCAAUUCCAAUUAGUCUCUCCCAUUCCCCUUUCCCCUCCAUCUAACUUUUGAGUUAUGAAGAAGUUAUUAGUUAGUUGAUCUACAUAAAUAUUAUUUUUAAGGAUAUUACUAUGUUUGUUUUUCAUUUUUUUUUUGGUCAAGUAAUAUAUCUUGAUGGUUAAAUAGUGCAUUUUUUGUUUAAUUAUUUCAAUUUUCAUCUACCAAAUGUCCCUAUUCAAAUACUUGAUUUUGCAUCCUCGAUCAUUCCCUUAUCAUCCACAAUAAAUAAAAUUGUAAAUAUCUACGUAGGAUCCAUAUAAAAAGUACAAUAUAGACAUCUAUUCAUUUAAGCAUCUUGAUGUGAAAAGGAUCACAGUUAAGCUCUUAAAAACUAAUAAAAUAAAAAAUUGGGAAAAAAAAAAAAGAGUUUCACGCGAUUCUAGCGCACUUUCCACAAGCAUUGCACAUGCAUCGUUGCUACCUAUACUCUAGUGUCCCUCUGGACUGUGAAUUAUUUUUUAUUAGUAGACAAUAUCUUUUGUUUUUUUUUUUUUUUUUCCUUUCCAAAAUUCCAUUUAAGUUAAGAGUUUGAUCCUCUCACCUAUGUGCUUAGGUAGGGAAAGAUAUAAGGGUUGCAAGUUGCAACCUCAGCUAGGUCAUUCUUUCAAGAAGAAGGCUCCAUUCUUUAUCCUUUCCGUUUUUUUUUUUUAUGGUCUGUCAUCUCUUUCCAUACCCUUUCUAUCCCUAACUGCUAGGUACUAUAUAUUUGAAUUGUGAAUUUGAUAAUAUUGACUUUAUGUGUUAUACAAAAAUAAUUCACAAAAGACAAACUUAUUUUGAAAAUUUUCUAAAAAUUUUCAUACAUGAUACUAACAAUUGUCCCUUCUGUGCUGAAGGCAUAAUUAUAGACCAACUUUAGAUGGAACAAGGACGUUAGUACCUUGGAAUUAGACCUAAAAUUGAACUUAGAUAAGAAUUUCACUAAAUUGUACCAUCCAACUAAAUUGUACAUUUUCUCACAUGGUAUGAGAAUACUAAAAACAAAAAAUUUUAAAUACAUUACCCUUACUUGAAUUAACAAUGUGUUAGCAUGUUUUUUGCAUUGGUGAAAUUAACUUGUUAUUUGCAUGCGUAACUAAGUUGAAAAUUAUUACGACUAUAUGAUACCCCUUCUAAUUUCAAAAUCUCCAUGUAAGGUGUAAUUAUCAUUUUUUAAUCUGUCUUUGAAAAAAAAAAAAAAAAAAGAAUCUACGUUGUUAUUCACUAGAACGUUACAUGCUUUUAAUCUUAAAAAAAAUUUCGUGGAGGAGAGCUUGGUGUGAACCCAGUGAGUUUUUACUAAUAAAUCGUACCAUGCCUUCUAACUUUUAAUUCUUGAAUUGUUUCUUAUCAUAAAAGCGCAUUAUCUAUCAGUAUUUUCUUGAUGACAAUGAUAAAUAAUUCAAAGAAUAGUAUUAUGAAGGCAAUUUAUUGAUAUUUCACAAAAGAAAAGUUGUUAAUUAACUUUUUUUAUAUACUAUAAGGGCCCCAAUGUCUUAUUAGUGUAUCUAGGAUUGGAGGGUAUGGAUUUAAGUCCUUCCUUUUAUGAAUUAUUUAAUUCCAUUGAUUUCUUCCUAGCAAGAAUUUUCCUCUUCUAUGUUCUCUUAUUUAGUAGUCAUCAAUCAACAAAGAAUAUAAUCUUGUUGGUAGGUAAAUUUCAGAUUCUAGCAUACCUAAUAUGCCCUAUAGUACAUACAUGCAAUUCCUUUUUUUAUUAUUUUAUUAUUAGGACAUAUGCAUCAUUGGUUGGAAGGAGUAAAGGUAUAGGAAACAAAGUCAUGGAUACUAGUACUAUUUUAUAUUUAUUCCAAACAAUUUCCAAAGAGAAGUCAAAUGAAAUCCUUCUUCAAAAUUUCUCAAGAACAAUAAGGAGGCAAGAAAAAAGGAUAGCAAGAAAGCAAAGCAAAAUCAAAGUUCAAACUUUCUUUAAAAAAAAAUAAAAAAAUAAAAAAUGCCCCAAAUAUCCAAUGCCUAAAUUGCAUUUCUUGGGCCGAGUUAAGUAAAGACAAACUAUCUCCUUAUAAGCCAUGUUAUUGGACAAACGCUCAACAACACAUGCGCCCUACUCAAUCGUUUCCGGGCAUUUGAGGGCUCGCUCUGGACUGGGACUCGCCCCUACGCUUGGUUCAGAAAAUGCCUUUGAAAACACUAAUUACGAUUAUUAGCUCCAACCGUAGUUUGUUUGUGGAGGUCCAAGGCCGAACUUUCUCAGUAACUUUUGCUGUCGGUGGAUGGUUGGAGUUAUGAGCGGACACGAGGCGUGGAUGCUAUCAGUAACAAUUGUUUGGAAUAAUGUAACAUUUUUUUAAUAAGGUAUAAAUUCACGUGAAUUACUUAUAAAAUUUAGUAUUACAUAUGAACCUUACAUGAAGUAUCGCAAUUAUUACUUUCAAGGUUUAUAAAAUCGGGAUCCUACGUAAGAUCGAUUUUAAUUUUACAUAAUCGGAUCAUAGAAUCGUAAGAUCCCACCAAAAGCUCCUAAAUUAAUGAAUUUGAAAUUCAUAUACCAUUUUGCACAUCCUAAAAGAUUUCAAAUAAAUAGAUAACUCAUAAAUAUUUUAUACUAUAUUGUCCAUUUCCUGUUUUGAGUUUUAACAAUCAGACAAGGAACCUUUACUUGAUCUACUAAUGUUUUCUUUACAACCUUUCAGCCGAAAAGUUGUGUUUUUGCACUGGCCUGUAGUAGAAUGUAGAAUAGAUGAUCAUAGCAAAACUAGCUGCUAUAGAUAUAGACGAUGAUCCAUAUGGCUUGCAAUAAUAAACUAACAUUGUAAAAAGGGCAACAAAUGAAGCCUAAUAUAUAGUUGAGUAUCAUUGACCACUAUACAUCACUUGUAUGCAUCUCAAGUCAAGUUUGAAACAAGCAAACAAUUCCAGUUCAUAUUGGCUUGCCAGCCAUUUAAUUUUCAGACUUACAUUUUAUUAAUUCUCCGUAAUUUAAUUCUAAUGUGCUAAAAUUAAGGAAGCAACCAAUCAACACAACAACAGCGGCCUGAAAUACGUGGCAUGGGGGCCUCAUAAUCAUUCAUUCAUGGGUUCAAAAGAAAAGAUGAAAGAAAGCUGCCGACGAUCAUCAAUUUGCAGGCAUGUGGUGUGGAGCAACAACUAUGGAGGAUUUGAGUAGAGAAAUGCUUAGCCAAGCAAAAGGAAUACUAUAAGGCGAUGAAUAAUCUUGGUCUUGGUCUUGGGGGCCCAUCUAAAACAAAAAAUAAUUUGCAAUGCGUGAAAGUGACUUAAGAUCUAAAUUCUAGAGUAAUUCAGUUGGCUGGAAUCCGGCGGCAACAGAGGAGAUUUCGUCUUGAAGGUGCCAAAAUCCGGCGGCAGCAGAGGAGAUUUCGUCUUGAAGCCUUACGAAAUCUAGCUUGAAGCCUUGAAGCUGUAGCUUGUUGGUAAUUGGUAAAAGCCGCAGCGAUUUCGUCUUGUUGGUAGGCGUAGGAGUUGCAGCAGUUUGAUGGAUAAAUUCUAGGGUUUUGGGCAGCGGUGGAGAAGAAAAGAAAAGUGCAGGCUGAACCGCUGAAGAAUGAAGUAAAGAGCAAAAGAAACGACGAAGGAAAGGAGUCAAAGGCUGACCGACUAAGGAAAGGCAAAGAUGAGAAGAAUCGGUGCUUUUUUUGACAUUUUGAGCAAAAAUGGUUAAAACAUUGCAAUUAAAGGCUGCAAUUCUUUGAUAAAUUACAAGCCUACCCCAAAUGUUUUCAUUUACUUGCAAAAUGAAGUCUCGAAUUUCACAUAUUAGCAAAAUUUUGUAGGAUCGUACGAUUCUAUACGAUCCUAUCGAUCUUACCAGCAAUUAAUGCAAUUUGCGAUUUUGAAUGCGAUCCGGAUCGAUUUUGGUUAUCCGGAUCGUAGGAUCGUACGAUCCGGAUCGCGAUUUUGACAACCAAAGGAUGUACAAAAAAUUUAUAUAAAAUUACAAAUCGUUCAAAAAAUAUUACAAUAUUCGGGAACGACUGAUCUAAGCCCUGCGUCCGUUGGGCAUUCUAAUCUCCCAAGUGAUCCCGCAGCCCCAAUCUGGCCUCCCCCUUCCUAUGUUCCUAUUGCAUUUUUUUUCCUUUUCUAGGCUAUUCCUUGUCUUGUUGAUCAUGGUUUCACUCUAUCGUCUUUGAUUUUUUCCAUGCCUAGUCUUUCUCAUGCAAUUUUCCAUCCAAUUAACGAAUUCCGGUAAAAGGAAAAACUUUGCAGCACAAGGAAAAUUAUGAAACGUCAAAAUGGUGGUGAAUCAUUCAUUAGUCGCUAAAUAGGAAAUUUGCAAUUUUUUGUCCACAAUCGUGGCCUUAGAUCAAUGUUUUCAGAAUCGGACCGGACCGGCCGGUUCAACCGGUUGGACAGCGAACCGAACAGGCCACCGGUCCAGUCUAGAGCUAAAGUCGAAGAGUAAUGAAAAAUCGCUAGAAACAGGAUGACUCGGACGAACCGUGAAAAACCGCACAUACCGUGAACCGGCAGUUUUUGAAACUUUUCAAAAUUAAUUUCCAAUUUGCAACCACCAAGAAUCGAACACCCGGACGAACCGUGAAAAACCGCACGAACCAUGAACCAGCAGUUUUUGAAACUUUUCAAAAUUAAUUUCCAAUUUGUAGCCACCAAGAAUCGAACACCAGACCUUGCAUUUGUCACAAGGAGCCCUUUACCAUUGAACCAUAGCCAGCAGACAAUUGUUUUGUGUAGAUAUCUACUUAAUUUAUUAAGUGAAAAACUAAAAAUACCAACCUAAGACACAUCAAACUUAUUUCUUUGUAUAUAAAAAAUAUAUAAAUGCAAAGAUAGUAAUAAUUGUUAGAAUAUUUAUAUAUAUAUAUAAUAAAUUAGGUGAAUAUUAAAUGUGUUAGGGCAACCGUUAGAAAAAUUCUUUAAUAAAAUAGCUUUUUCAAAUUAUUUUUUUUAAUUUUUGUAGAAAAAUGUACAACAACAGUUUAAUGUGUGUAGCAUAAAGACAAUCAAUAAAUAGAUUAGUGAAAAAAUAAAAAAUUUAAAAAAUGACAAUCCAAACAAGGUCUAAUUUGGUAACUAAAUUGAAUUGUUUAGAUAAGUUAUUAUUUAAAAAAUUUUUAAUUACAUCAGAAACACUUAUGCUUUACAUCAUAAAUACAUUGUUGGUAUAUCAAUGUUUGUUAAUGUACUCCCCUUGAUUAUUAAUGUAAUCCCCUUGAUUUUUUAAUUUGUGAAAAUAAAUAAAAAUACUCAAACUUUUAAUUUCAGUUACAAUCUCACAAUAAAAUAGUGGUUGAAAUGCAAUAACAGAUAGAAAGAUUGAAUAGGGAUAUUCCUGCUCAAUUGACAUUGUAGACAAGUAUUUAGGAAAAAAAUUGAUAAAUAAUUAUUAUUUUAAAAAAUUAUUUAUAAUUACAUUGUACACAUUCGUACUUUACAUCAUAACUCCUAGAUUUUUUUUUAUUUGUGUGAAUAAACAAAAUACUUAAAAAUUUUAAUUUCAAUUACAAUCUCAAAACAAUAUCGUAGGUAGUAAGAUUGAAUAAGGAUAUUGUUACCUAAUUGACUGGUAGAUAAGUAUUAGAAAAGGGAACAUCGAUAAAUAAUUCGGCGCUAAUAACAAUUUUCUAGUGGACAAAAAAUGUGAAUAUGGAGAAUUUUUUUCUUUUCUUUUUUCCUUUCCAAUGAAUAUGGAUCGAGUGAGAAUGUCAAAUGGCCGAAAUGAAAACACAAAUUUGGUAUCUGGCUAGAUGUCAAAUUUGAAAACACAAAUUUCAGAUUCGUGUGAUAGAGGAUAUCGGGCUGGAUAUUUUUUAGUAUUACUUCAAGAAGGUUCCACAUUCCUCUGAAGUCUUAUUUAGACCCAUCUCAAAUUUGAAUUGCAUCAUUACCGAGUUGGGCCUGACAAUAGCCUGUACCAUGUUCUUGGACAUCAACCUUCAAAGUUUAAGCUUGUAGCUGUAGGCAGUGAACUAUUUCCGGAAAGAAAGAUGUUUAUUUAAAAAAAAAAACAGUGAACCGGCCGGUCGGACCGCGAACCGGUACCUUCUCCGGUUCACUGCCGGUCCGGUUCUGAAAACAUUGCCUUAGAUAAGGACCUACUUGGUUUAUCCAGUUUUUCAACAAGACACAUGAAACUUUUUCAACUUGGGCUCAUUAAGUAAAAGUAGUUACCAAAACAAAGCCCUCAUGAGUAGUAGUAUUGCAGUACAUGAAGUUAACAAUAAAUGUAGUCAAGGGAUACCCUGCAAAAAUAAGAGGUGUUUACAAUACCUAGAAAUGGGCACGCCUCUAUGUGAAUUGACAUCAUAGGAUUUUUUUUUAAUAGGAGAGGGAUGGGAUUUAAGAUGCAUGAAGGGAAUAGGAAAAUUUGAAUCCAAUACCUCGGAGCUCUCAAAAAUAGCAUCAAAGUCAUUUUCAAAGAAGUAUACGUACUCCCUCAUUCCCACUUUGAUAGUUUUGGUUUUUCUUUUUAACAUAGUUUAAGUGAAACUAAUUAAUUUUGUUGGAAGAGUAAAUCUAGUCUAGUAUUUUUUUAAAAUACCCUUAUAUUGAUAUUAGGACUAUAACUAAUCGCUAUAGUUUUACAUUAAUUACAAUAACAAUACUAUGAAAGUUGCACCAUUCAAGAUAUGAAUCUAAGCAAUUAAUGAAUGAUGUAGAUUAUAUUCACUGAUAACAAAGUACAUUAAAUAAGAAUAUUUUAGAGAAGUUAUAAGUUAAGUAUAUUUUUCAAUUGAAAAGUAGAUUAUACUUUGGGACGAAUGAAUAAGGAAAACAAGAUUAUCAAUUUGGGAUGGAGAACGUAUAUAGAAUGUGUGACGCUUUUGUACAAUAAUAUGAAAUGAGAAUACAAAACAAUACCUAGUUUUAUGGAAACAUGGAUCUUCACCUAAGAAUACUCAAUUUGUAGAAAUGAAGACUUGGAUUCCUUAUUAAUUGGGCAAGAAGCUAUAUAGGAGUAUACUAAAAGAAUGGUAAAUAUUACUUAAGAACUUCAAAUGUUUUGUGUCGUGCCCUAUUUUUGAAAAAUAAAAAGGGAAAGGUGUUAGAAAAAUGUGUUUUUUAUUUUAUUUUUAGAAAAUAAAGAAAAAUGGCCUAACAUGGGACAUAUAAAGUGUGAUGGUUUGGGCUCAAAAUUUAGUCUUAAAAAGGGCUUUUUUAAAGAAAAAUAAGAGGAGCCACUUGGUAUCGAGUUUAGGUGUACCAAAUCAUCUAAAAUGUAUUUUAAAUAAAAAACCAAUAAAACCAUUUUAGACGACUCCAGAUCUUUGAAAACGAGAGAAAAGAGUUCGGGAGUCACGUUUGAAAAAAGAGAAGACAAAGAUUUGAUUUAAAGCACCAUUUCAACUUAACCAUAGUUAGUUGAGAGAUUUAGUCAAAAAUUCUCCUAAUCUAACCUAUAAAACUUAUCACAUUUUUUAUGUUUCUAUAUGGAUGCAAUUCUAGACCUAAGGGAUAUCAGAAGGAUUGAAAUGUCUCUUCAAAGUUAGACGACUACAGAUCUUUAAAAAUGAGAGAAAAGAGUUCGGGAAUCACGUUUGAAGAAAGAGAAGACAAAGAUUUGAUUUAAAGCACCUUUUCAACCUAACCAAAGUUAGUUGCGAGAUUUAGUCAAAAAUUCUCCUAAUCUAACCUAUAAAACUUAUCACAUUUUUUAUGUUUCUAUAUGGAUGCAAGUCUAGACCUAAAGGAUAUCAGAAAGACUGAAAUGUCUCUUCAAAGUUUAAUUGGUAUCAAUCACAUUAAUUAUGAAGUCCAAGAAUAAUUCUUUGAAUAGGUCAUGAAAAAUGCAAAAGAUGAGACACAAAAAAAAAAAGAAAAUAUAAUAUAUAGAUAAACAUACAUGACUUAGAAGAGAGGAAUGCAACAUAACGGGUAUGGGAUGCUAAAAUUCGUCACUCAAUUUUCCUUCUUAUAGAGGGGUAAUAGCGUGUUAAGGUUAAAAAACCAUAAUCGCUCAUUUUCCACAUUCGAAGAGUGACACUUUUAAUCUAAGCAAGCAAAUGAACUAGCCUAUUUCUAAAAUGAAAUACAAUUUUAAAUGAUAUGGUCCAAACAUAUAAAGGGUAAGAGGAUAAUAGUAGGGAAAAUAUCAUGCAAAUGAUAAAAAUUCUAAAAUAGGAAAAAAUGCAUGAGAUGCAAUAAAUGUCACACCAAAGCAUGAAUCUAAUGUAUGAAUGAUCUAAAGAGUCUAGCGUUGGGUUAGCCCAUUUCUAAAAGUCCUCACUAGCGUUGAAUUAGUGAGAAAUCGAAAAGAAAAGUCACAACUAGCGUUGGACUAGUGUGGUGAUGUCAUGCACUCAUUAUAAAUAAAUAAAGCAUAUAAAACAUAAUUAAAGUCAAUAAACACAUAAACACAUAGAGCACGUAGUACAUAGGCAUAAUAUUUAAAUGCAAAAUCUUAGAGAAAACGAAUAAAACACAUAAGCACACAAGCAUGCAAGCAAAUAAAAACUAAUUAUUGCAUUGGGGGUCCUAACUACAAUCUAGAAAGGGAAUUGUGAAAAUAAUAAACCUAUCUAUUAUAUUUAUCUAACUAAUUAUAUUUUUGAUAAAAAUAAAAUCUAUCUAUUACAUGGUCUAACUAAAUACAUUUCUUGGACACCUAUUUAUUACAAUUUGGCAUUCACAAAUAAGCAUAAAAAAUUCAAUAAAAUGAAUGAAAACCUAAAUGGAUAAAAUGAGUAAAUGAAAAAAAAGCAUUCAAAACAUUUAAUCAUACAUAAAAACACAUAGGAGCACAUAAAGGAAUUUAAAAUAAUAAUAGAAGGUACCUCCUUUGAAGUAGUGGUUAAAUGAGGUAGAAUUUGCCCUAUUUAUACUCCAAAACCGACAAAAAAGUUAAGACACCAAUUUAAUUAACAAUUAAAAGAAAAAUGUAAACAUAUAGCAAAUUCACUUUAUUAUUAUAAAGAAAUAUGAAUAUACAUAAAGUCCCUAAAAUUUACUAAUUAAAAACAUUUAAAUGAAGCAUGAUUGACAAUUAAAGAAGGUAAACAAUUAUACUUAAGAAAUCAAACCAUUAGGGAAUUAAUUGUAAAAAAUUGAAAAGUUUUUAGGCCAAAUUAUAGUUUUUACAAAGAUUAGGGGCCAAAAUUAAAUAAAAGAUAAAGUUUAGGGAUCAAAAUAUAAUUAAAUUAAGAACCUUAUCGAAAGAAAUUCAAAUGCUUUCAGGGCUGAAGUGAAAUUACUCAAAAGAUCAGGAGCUUGGUUGCAAAAUUCGUUUUCUAGUUUAACCAGAAAACAAACCUUGGGCCCUUUUACAUUGAAUUUUAUGCCGGACCUCUCUUCGGCCCAAAGAAAAAAGCAGACCCUUUUUGUUUAAAAAUGGAACAACCCACUUAUUCUUACUAAACUAAAGCCAACAAAAACAUUGGGUUUAAGUAUUAAAGCCCAUAUACAAACCCAAACAAAUAAAACUACCAGCUCAUUAAACUAAACCCAUCUACAUAUAUUCCUAAAAUUAUCUUGAUUAAAUGAUCUAAACCCAACAAAUUUCAUUCAAAGCCCCAAUUAUACUCCAAAAUCCAGAAUUAAUUUAUUCAAAGCAUGUACAAAAGAAAUCAAUAGGCUUUAAAGGAAGAAAAAUAUGUCCACUUUUUCACAAUUUUAGGCCUUAGUGCAAUUAUUCUUUUUUUGGGGGGGGGGAGCUGCAAAUUGUGGAUUUCUCCAUGCAAGAACAACGAAGAAUUCUGCACUUUGGAAGUUCACCAAACCCCGAAACCGUACCAAAAUGGUUUCCAAAAUUUCGGAUCCAUAUACACAAGAUUAUGCAACCUCAAACAUCAACACCAAAUCUCAUCACCCAAAUACAAGAUUCAACACAAGAUUAUAUAGUAGAAAUUUGAGCUAACGGCCAGCAAAAAAAAAAGAAAAAGGAAGAGGAAAACAGCAGCGAAGAUUUUCACAGAUCUGGUGCGGAUCUAAGCUUUUAUGAAAGGAAAGAAAUGAAAUAAACUACCUUUGAUACCUUGUGGAGUUGAAUAAACGCGGCAAAUCUCAAAAAAAAACAAAAAAGGAUCCAAAUACUAGAAGAUGAAGCUGACAGCUUCUUGGGAUCGGUUUCAAGGGUUGGCAAAGCAAGGAAUUUCAAGCCCAAAUUCAAAGAACCUAGAGGCGUUUUUUCUAAAAAUUUUCUGAACAAAAGUUGUCCCUUGAUGAAUGUAGAUAGUGCAAAAACAAAAAAAAAAAAUCACCUAAAGAACUAAAAUCGAGAUCGGAUUUUGAUCAGAAAGGAGGCUGAAUCAUUAGUCUUGGCUCAAGAAAUUUUUCAGCAAUUUUCUGCUAUAUUUUUUCUCUCUCCCCAUUCUCUCUUUUCCUCUCUUUUUUUGUUCUUUUCUUUGCCGUCUUCCCCCCAACUCUCUUUACCCUAAAGCUGCGUCCUUUUAAAUGAGACUAAAACAACAAAACCCUCAUCUCAAUGGUGAGGAUGGAAUGGGUUUUGUUGGCUCAUUUUUGGCAUGAUCUUGUUUCCAGAGGUUUCUUGAUAAUUCUUGCAAGGAUGAGGUGGCCUUUGUACCGGUAAAUUUGGGGAAAAAGAAAAGGAAGAAAAAUCGAAUCCAAAAUGGUCCAAAAAUCCAGCUAUUGUACUGGUUUUUGGUGUGCUGCGUGUUGCACGAGCGCGUCAGGGAGAAUUUUUUUUUUUUUUUUAACAAAAAUUUGAUUUUUCAUUUCCAUUUUCUUUCUUUUCCUAUCUUCACUUUCCUAUAAAAACCAAUCAAAUAAAAAAAAUGAUCUUUCUUGAAAUAAGAAUUAAAUGGUCAAACGUAAAAAAAUAUAUAAAUAAAUGAAUUAUCAAAUUUUGGUGUCUACAUUUUGCAUAAAAAAAUAGUAAGAUUUGUUAAUAAAGUCAUGAGUUUUACCUGAAAAUAGUAGUAAAUUUUGUUUUAAAAAAUGGUAAAUUUUGCUUCAAAGUUAGUUGAAUUUAUUAAUUUUGCACUAAGUUUUACUAAAAAAAAAGUGGUAAAAUUUGUCAAUGAAAUCAUAAAUUUUUCUUGAAAAAAUACUGUAUGUUUUGUAUAAAAGUGGUAAGUUCUGCUAAAAAUUUAGUAAGAUUUGUUAUAUAAAGAAUAACUUGCACAAUAACACUUACUUGUUUUAUAAGAAACUUACUAUCACAAUAUUAGGUUAAAACCUAUACAUGGCAUCACAUGAACCACUCAUUUAUGACUUGUGGUGACUCUUUGUCACUUCAGACUUUUCCAUAAUUCUUUUCAUGGAUUAUCAAAUAUUUUUGUGUAUGUCAAAUAAACCUUUUUUUUUUUAAAUUUUUGCAAAAAGGAGUAAAGAUGUGAUUUAAGAAGUGCAGAGGGGGAAUGGAAAAUUGAAUCAAAUAUUUUUAAUUCCUAAUGUCUCAAUAUAAUUUUUUUCCUAUAGCCACCUAGGCGUGACUUUUUCAAAGUUAAACAGAAGCACACCUUAAUAUUUUUUUCCACCCCUCCCCUAAUCGCAAUCAUUACCGAAAAGUAAAAACCAUAAACUUGAAUCACACCUUAAUAUUUUCUUCCACCCCUCCCCUAAUCGCAAUCAUUACCUAAAAGUUAAAACCAUAAAUUCUUAAGCAAUAAUGACAUCUCCUACUUCAUUAUUAUUAUGGGCGUAUUUAAUAAGGGUAAAACACAAAGGGCCUUCACAUAUCCAUUUUAGAAGGCGUUAUCUCAAACUCAUAAGAAAGUCCACGUCUUGAGAUUUAUGCCCUUAAGGGCGUGAAUUCUAGGAAGAACCUCUUUUUUUUUUUUUUUGGGCAUAAGUGAGAGAUUUUAAAUCCUGAACUUCUUGCUUCACAAUCCCUCCGUCCUGCCUUCAUACAUCCCAAAACUCAAGGACUUUUGCGGCCGUGAAAGUCAUAACAGAAGCCCUCCAGGAAAAACUCAGAACAGAGGGACUAACAGUAACAUCUGAAGUCCCUGAGUUUUGAGUCCUCUUUAGUGAUCAUAUAUCUAAUGAUUUCAACACUCUUUUCUCUUCACUUCCACCGGAGAAUAACUGCCAUGCAGCGGGAGUGCUUGGUGAUUUCCACAAGGCCUUGUUCCCAAAGGCAUCCCUUCAUUUUGCUUGCUUAUCUUGCGCGCUUCACUGCCUUUCAGACGUGCCAAAAAAGGUUGCAGACAUCAUGUCCCCUGCAUGGAACAAAGGAAAGAUUCACUAUGGAGGUGCCAAGAUGGAAGUUUUCGAGGCUUAUGCGUCUCAAUUUGCCAAGGACGUGGAGUCAUUUACAUGGAGAAAUUUCUAAUUUUGUGAUGACUUUUAAAAAAAUUCUACAAAAGGGGUGAUUUUGGUUGGGUAUUCCGUAGGGGGUCUUCGCAUUUGCGGAAUGCGAGCUCUGCUUAUUGAGCUCGCAUUAAUAGAGCGUAUAAUUUUUUUUUUCUCAUUAAAUUUUUUCCAGAAAAUAGUAUGAGCUAAAUGCGAGCGGCUAAAUAAAAAUUUUCAAAUAGCUUGCAUUUGAUAAAUUUGACCUCCAAAAAUUGUAUUUAAUUUUUUUUGUUACAUUUCGCAUUUAUAAGUAUGACUUUCAGAAAAUUAAAUUCAAAGUUGCUAGAAAAAAAAAUUUUAAAUGAAAUUUACGAGCUUCCACCAAAAUGUAUCUUUUUCAGAAAAUGUUGUUUAUUUUGUAAAAUUUGCCUUUACUAAAAUGCUGUCGGUAGUAAAAUCUUAUUUUAAAAACUCUACUAAGAUCUUAUAUUUCACAGAAAUGUUAGAGAAAUGUUAUUUAAAAAUCUGUAAUUAGCAGAGGAAUAAAUUUUUUUAUUUUAAAACUUGCACGUGCCUAAAGUCAUCAAAUUUGUGUUCUAAAAAAAUCAUAUUUCUUUUAUAUUAAAAAAAUUGGUAAUUGUACGGUUGAAAAUACGUUAUUUUAUUAUAAUACAUUUAAAUGGUGGAAAAAGUACAUAUGCAUAGUUCUUUCUAUUUCAUAUAUCAAUGAAAAAAUAGAAUGAAAUUGUUAACAUGUAAGGUGUUGACUAUAUUUUAUGAAUAAAAUACUAACUUAUUUUCCUUUUUUAUAAAAUAAUUUUUUUUAACAAAUUCUAAUUUUCCUUUGUUAUUAAUGAAUCGUAUUUAUUCGUUAACACCGACGAAUAUUAGUUAUAAGAAUCUAAUAGUUAAUAGUCAUUAAUAUCUGUUACAUUUUCAACUGUAAUUUCAGAAAUUUCAUAACGCAAUGUUUUUUUAAAAAAAUUAUAUAAGUUAUUUUUAUGAAGUGCAUGUUAUUUGUUUGGUAGUUGAAAAGGAAAAGAAAAAAAUUAAAUCAAAUAUCUAGCGAUUAAAUCUUGCGUAUUUCACCUUUUACAAUUAUUGGCAGGAUUACUAUUUUGAUUAAAAAAAUAAAGCGAUAAUCAAGGCAAAUUUAUUGCCAUGCAAAAAUCCUAAAACCCUAAGUGCUGAAGGCAUAAAACACGAAAUCGUAAAUCUUAGAAACCAAAUCCUUGUAAACCCUAAAACAUUAAAUCAAGGUUGUUGGGUUAAUUAAAAUCCAUUAAAAAAUAUUUUUGCGGCUCGAUAGGAUUACUAUUUUAAUUAAAAAUCUAAAGUCCUAAUCAAGGCACACUAUUGUCAAAUUAAAAUCCUACAACCCUAAACCCGAAAGUGCUAUUCUCCUAAAACACUAAAUCUUGAUCUCUAAAACCCUAAAACCCUGAAUCCUAAAAGCCUCAAACCCUGAGUGCUAUAUCUAAUGUAGUUGAUGGGCUGAACCAAAGAUAAGAUGUUUUCUUUUGUCUACAACUCAUUUGGUCUUCUCUUUUGUUGCAGAAACAUGUGCCACCGAUUUCUGUCCCUCAAAAUAGUUGGAAAAGUUGUGAGAAAGGUAAAGGAAAACGGCUGUGCCACUUGCUGAAGAGAUAGGCAAAUCCGAGCCUCGGAUCCAAGGGUUGAAUAUAGAUCCGAGCUCGGAUCUUUAGGAUCCGAGGACUUCCCAUGAUGGAUCCGGGGUCGGAUCUUCUGACUUUGGAUACAUUCCUCCGGAAGUACAGACGAGGGAUCGGAUCUCUUUUUGCUCUCACGGAUCCGAGCUCGGAUCCGUGCCAUUAAAUUUCCAGUUUUUUCGCUUCUUGCCUUUUUCCUUCAUUUUUCCUCCUAAUUUCUUGUGUACUUUAUCCUCUGGACAAUCCUUACACUUGUUUCAGCUAGUGCAUGAACUUCAUAUAUCGAUGUCUCUCACAUUUCACAAAAUUAAUGCAUUAAUCCACUCACAAUUUCACAAAAUUGAACAUUUUGGCCAUUAACUUGAAAUAUUGGAAAAUUUUUUAAAAUCUUCUCGGGAAACACAACUCUAAUGUACGAUUUACGCAUAGCUGCCUUAGAGAAAUUCGUUUCUCAUUUGCAUCUCAUGUUUAAUUCCCUUAAUUAGAACCCAUUUUCUAUUUUAAACGGAGCUUGCCCCUUUUUUCUUUUUUUUUUUGUUUUAUCUUCCUCAACGCAAAAAAAUAGACAUUUUUAAAAAAAUUAUAAUAACAGAGAAAUUUCUAAAAUUAUGAUGAAUUUUAAAAGAAUUCUACAAAUGGGACAUUUUGAGCAUGGGAUUCCGUCCAAAGGGUCUUCACAUUCAGCAAAUGCGAACUCACGGAGCUCGAAUUUUUGAACAACGAAAUCCAAAAAAAAAAAAUUAAAUGAAAAAAAACCAGACCUCGCAUUUAUGAAAUGCGAGGAUCCGAGCUCGGAUUAUUUCUGGCAUCCCUCGGAUCCAACAGGGUUCGGAUCCGUCUCAACAGAUGCUCAGACGAGCCCUCGGAUCUUAGUUAACAACUAUGGAUCCGAGGUCGUAUCACCCAUUUUCGCCUUUGAUUCUCAAAGGAUCCGAGGUCAGAUCCGUCUGUGUUGCGUCGGAUCCGACCUCGGAUCUUGCUUUUUCUGCACUAAUUGCAGAAACUGCAAAUAAACUGCAACAAAUUGGAAACAGAAAAAUUGCAAGAAUUCGAAAAAUGUAACGUAUAUCUUCAAGUCCACCACAAAAAUUGCAAAAUUAAGCACAACCCACAUCAAAUUUAUACCCAAAUUUCACAACAAAUCUGAACUUGCCCUUGGAUUCAAGUAUUCAAGUAUUAAUUCAAGUAUUAAGUGACGCAUUGCAAGUGGAAAAGCCUCACCUUUAUGCUGUUUGAGAGUCACAAUGGGACGGCAAUGCUGGCAAAUUUUGGGAAGCGGCACUCGCGGAACCAGUCUUUCGAUGCUCCGGUCAGCUCCGAUGUUUGGAUGCUUCGAUGUGCAGAACCCAGCUCUGUUUUCUUUGUUUUGCUGUUCGGCCACUCUGUUUUCUUUGUUUUGCUAUUUGACAGACUCACUUUUCUCUUUUUUUUUUCGAAAUGGGGUGUUGGCGCUCCUCAGUGUGUGACCUCGCAUUCGGGGAAUGCGAGCUCACUGAGCUCGCAUUCGAGGUCAGUGGUCACACACUGACCUCGCAUUCGGGGAAUGCGAGCUCAGUGAGCUCGCAUUCCCCAAAUGCGAAGACCCUAUUUUUAGAAACCACUCCGCAAAACGCCCUCGUUGUAGAAUUCCUUUUGUUUUCCAUCAUAAACUAAGAAUUCACCCCAUUUACAUGAGCUGGUCGAUGGAGGGUUGAUGGCCCUUCUACCCCUGUUGCUGUCCGUGAAUCUCAGACAACUACCAUCACAGAGGUAGAACUAGAAGUUCUAGGAUCUUGCCUCAUGGAUUUGGCUAAGAAGGUGAGAUUUCACUAGUUUCAGAUCUUCUUCAACUAAGAACUCUAUUUGAAUAACCCUCAAUGUUGGGACGCAAAGUAGAAUUUUGAUUUUUUUUUUCAACACUUGAAUAGUAUUAAAUUCGAACAUUUAUCUUCUAGCAUUGGAUAGUAAACAGUUUUAGAUAGUCAAAUUAGUUAAAUUAUUCAUUUUUGAAUUCAAAUGGCAUUCGGAAUUCAUUUUUUACGCUUCUACGAACAUGUGGGAUGGGAUUUUUCUGGAUCAGAUCGUUGCAGGAAGGGGCAGCGGCCCCUCAAGAAUUUUAAAAAUUUCACUCGCACUCUUAUGAAUUCUAAAAAGUUAAUUUGUAUUAUGAAUUUGGCCUUAAGAAAUUAUUCUGAUAUCAGUUACUUGCCCCUCUUCCCAAGCUUGAGUGAGAAUUUGGUAUCCUGUUGAAAUAUUUUUGACAUUUUACUUUUGCCCCACAAAAACUUCAAACAUUUUACUUCCAAACAACAAUGUAAAUGAGUCUAAUUAAAUCAAACACUCAAGUCUUCAAACUUGUCUGUAAAUUUUAAAGAAUUUAAAAUUGCGUUUAAAUUUGGCUUCUUUAUUCAUUGUUUUGAGUUCACAUGAGCUUUUAUCGAAUUGAGCUCGAUUGAAUUUUUCACAUACAAACUUGUCACUUAAAUUAGUGAGAAAAUAUUUAAUCAAAUCAUUAGAAAUAUCAUAUGUGGUUAUUUAGGCCACACAAAAUAUAUAUUCUAACAUGAUGUCGUCAACCAAGCUUAUAGUUGGACAAUAAGGUAUGUGAGAUUUUAUUCUUUGUUAUUCAUCCUUUAUAAGUUCUUUUUUAUUCAUCCAUUACAAUGGAUAGCUUCUAGAUAUGCUUGAUUAUGCAAGCUAAUGCUACACAGUCAGGAGCAGCUGUUUCAAAGCCAUUUCUUGGGUUGCCUUUGGCAACUAACAACACCAGCACAGUCCAUAAGGUCCACUAAAUUUGUUUCAUGUUCUCUUUUUGCGCUUCAGGAGGACAAAAAUAACCACCACAUCCUGAUUCUCAGGGUUAAAGAGAGAGGAAGACUCUGCAAGUUUCUGCGUAAACAGUUCAAACAAUUCAUCCAUGAUAUCACUUCCAAAUUGUUUCUCUAGAAGUCCCUCUAAUGCAGCUCUGAGGUACAAAGCAAUUCCACUAGGGUUGGAGAAAACCACAUGCUUUCCUGGAAUGCUUAAUAUCUCCAUUCUCUGAACAUUUAGAUGUUCAUUUGCCUUCAUCAGGGUCUUUAUCUCAUUAGGAGAUGGGAGAUAUAGUGGCAAGUUGAACAUAUCCACUUUCAAUUCAUCGACCAAUCCCUGCAAUAGGUGCAUCUUAGUAUUUAAAGUACUUUUUUUUUGUUAGCCAAAACCUAUAGUCGAAAUUCGAAGAUAAACUUUGACCAAAACUCAUUCUUAUGUAGUAUAUGCAAAAUAAAGAAACUGUAAAAUUAAAAAAUCCUACUCAUGGAUUUGCAACUGCUAUUUUUAAGCUGAAGACAUGUUUCAGAAAUUAUGGAGCUUACUCGUGACCAAGGAGGUAUUCCAUUCAUUCUCUGCCAUUGGUAUAUUAUGCCUGAUUUGGUUGAUUUCCUAUAUCUGUUUUGUUUCAUCCUGGAAGAAAUGUUGGGAAAAGAGAUUGGUGCCUUGUUGUGACGCUUUUGGGGCAGCAUUAAUUAUCUGGUAUGAUUUCUAUUCUGUCCAUGUUUGUUACAAGUAGUAAAUUUGACGUAUGAAGCUCACUUCCAUCCAAUACUUUGUACCUUUUUAUUUCAGCGAAAUAAGUACAUAAGUUUAGAGGGUAAGGACUUAAUAUCAAAAUAAUAUCUUAUAUUUGCAAAUAGGAAUGAAAAACGAACGAAAAUAUAUUAUACUUGAAUUGAUGUUGAAAUAGUAAAAGCUAAUUUGCGCUUAGUUCACCAAUGAAAUUUAUAUGUGAAAAAUUUAAUUGAGUUUGACUUGAUAAAAGCUAAUCUAAAUUCAGCGUAAUAAAUAAAUGAAUUAAAUUUAAAUACAAUUUUAAACUCUUUAGAAUAGAUAGACAAGUUUGACAACUUGAGCGCUUGGCUCAAUUAGCUUCAUUCAUAACCCUAUUUGCAAGUAAAAGUUUUGAAAUUUUUUGUGGGGCAAAAAAAAAUGUCAAAAAUAUUUCCACAGAAUACCAGAUUCUCAAUUCUCAUGCUUGGGGAGAAGGGUAAUUUCUUAAGGCUAAUUAUAAUACAAAUAAACUUUUUAAAAUUCAUAAGAGGGAAAAUGAAUUUUUUAAAAUUCUUGAGGGGGUGGCUGCCCUCCCUGCAAAGAUCCGAUCCAACAAAACUCCUGUCCCGCAGGUUCAUAGAAGUGUUAAAAAAGAAUUCCAAAUGUCAUUUGAAUUCAAAAAUGAAUAAUUUAACUAUCUAAAACUAUCUAGGAUAUAUUAGAUCAUAAUUCAAAUUUAAUAUUAUUCAAGUGACAAAGAAAAUCAAAAUUCUAUAUAUGUUGCAUCCCUGCAUUGCGAUGUAUUCGCAUAGAGUUCUUAGUUGAAGAAGAUCUGAAACUAAUGAAAUCUAACCUUCUUAGCCAAGUCCAUGAGGCAAGAUCCUAGAACUUCAAAUUCUUUCUCUGUGACGAUAGUUGUCUGAGAUUCACGGAUGGCAUCAGGGACAGCAGGAAUAACAAGGGCCAUCAGCCCUCCAUCGACUAGCUCGUGUGCCCUUGCAUUCAGAAAUGACUCCAAGUCCUUUGCAAAUUGAGAUGCAUAAACCUCAAGAACUUUCUUUUUGGCCCCUCCGUGGUGAAUCUUUCCUUUGUUCCAUGCAGGGGACGUGUUGUCUGUAACCUCUUUUGGCACAUCUGAAAGCCAGUGAAGUGCGCAAGAUGAGUGAGCAAAAUGAAGGGAUGUCUUUGGGAGCAAAACCUUGUGGAAGUCACCAGGCACUCCAGCUGCAAGGUAGUGUCUCUCUGGUGGAAGUGAAGCAAAAAGUGUGUUGAAAUCAUUAGAUAUAUGGUCAUUAAAGAAGACUUGAAACUCAGGGACUUCAGAUGUUAGUCCCUCUUUUCUGACUUUUUCCUCCAGGGCUUCUCUUAUGACUUUCAUGGCCACAAAUGUAUUUGGUCCUGUAGAGCAGCCAAAAUCUGCUAUGCGAAAUGGAUGCACAGAGGUUGAAAAGGUUGCUUGACAUCAAGUUCU
rnacentral:lncRNA from 1 species